rnacentral:lncRNA from 1 species
AAAAAAAAAAAAAAAACUCAACUUAAAACGUUGUAUUGAAAAUUGUUUAAGAUAUUUUAUUUAUUUUAAUUUUAUAUUCAGUUUAAAUUUCAUAAGUCAAAUAGUUUAAUGUUUAUUAUAUUUUCAUUCUUUAAUUCUAUUUCCUUUGAGAAAAGGUCUCUCUCUUUACAACCACAUUAUCAAUGUAUUAUAUUAUAUGAUUGUAGAAUAAUUAGGACCGAUAAUUAGUGGUGAACAAGUAAUCACAUUAAAAGCAAAGAUGUAAUUAACGAAAUUGUAAUUAAAGAAUAUGAUUAGUAUGACCUUACUUACAUUAUUGAUUUCAUAUUUACAUAAAUAAAGAAGAUCGCGAAAAAAUUGACAACAAACAUAAAAUUUAUUAAUUAAUAAUGUUUUUUUGCAAUAAAAUUAACAUUAUACAUAAUAUUUUCUUGUGAUGUUGUAUAUUUGUAUUGUUAUUGUUAAUUUAGCUUGAAAAAAAAUAAUAAGUUAUUAUUUUCUUUUUUUUUAUUGUCAAUUUUUUAAAUUUAACUUACCAUAUGAUAUGUUUAAGAUGGUAAAAUUUAGAAAUUUUAUUACUUUAUUAAAUUUCAUAUUAAGUUAUAAAAUUGAACAAAUAAAUUAAAAUGAAAAUAGUAUCAUAAUUGUAUAGUAUAAAAUACGAUGAAAUUGAUGAAAUAAACUUAUGAUUUACAAUAAUUCCUAUUAUGGACCCAACUUAAUGAUUGAGACAUUAUUUUAUAUUUUAUACUUCCACCUUUGUUUUAAAAUAUAUGUAAAUAAUUUGAUCGAACAUUAAAAAAGGUUAUUAAACAUAAGGUGAAGGUCAUAUGCGUGACUUUUAUGAAAUGAGGAGCCACGAUUAAAAAAUUAUAAUAGGAUGACAAUUAUUCUAAUCUUUAAUUUGUAUAUUUUAUAAAUUGUCGUAAAUAAAUAUAAUUUUAUUAUAUGAUAAAUUUAGUAUAUAUAUAUAUAUAUAUAUAUAUAUAUAUAUAUAUAUAUAUAUAUAUAUAUAAACUGAAAUUCCUAAUUUAGCCCAACAUGAAUACCCCUCUUUCACAAUUUACCUAUAUAAUUUUUUUAGUCAGUCUUUAAAAAAAAAAUAUUAAUUAUUCUUGAUAAGAUAAUUUAUAAUCCCAUGAAUAGUUAAAAAAAUAUUUUACACUAUAAAAUAGCUAUUUCAAUACUUUUACUUAUUCACUAUUUUAAAAAAAUAAUUUUCAUUUCUAUUUUGUCAAUUUAAAAACAUCAAGAAAAGAUAAUUUAUUUUUCCUAAUUCACCUCAAUAUUAAUUACUACUUUUUUUUCUCAAAUCAUUUUCAAGACUUAAAACUAUUCAUCAAUUAAUAUGAGUCUUAUAAUAAAAUAUUCAAAUUAAUCAUUAUUUUUGUUAAAAGAUGUCAGAUGUGUAUAUAAUUUCAAACGGGCAAAUAAAAAUGAACAUGAGGAAUAUUUUUAAUAAAAAAAGUGUUGAAGAAAACCCAUAAACUCGCUGCUAAUUAUUAAUUACAUCCCAAACUAUUAACGAUAUUAAAAUCAACCCUUAACUUGACUAACUAAAGAGUUAAAUAAAUACAUUUUGAUCUCUCAACAUGAGCGAAAUACAUCUCUAAAUCCUCGUCAAGUUUAAAAUAUUUUCAACACUUAUCUCAUUUUUUUAUUAACAAACUCAUGCUCGUACAACAGUUGGAGAUCACUUGUUAUGUCCAGUAAAAAAAGUGUUUUUUGGACUGUGAAUCGAUCACACAUUAAAUUAAUAAUUUACGUCAAAUUUAUGAGUGUUUUUUAGUAUUUUCUCAAUUUAAAAAUAUCAUACAAAAUAAAAACGAUGGAAGUAUGACGUACCAAAACUUUAUUUUACUACAUUUAUUCCAAAUCGAAAUUAAUUAAUUAAUUUAUAUACAGUCAAUGUAUGUAAUAUAUAACGUAAAAAUACGAAUAGUUUAAAACACGAGUCAAUUAGUAAAUAAUUUGGCUUAUUUUCAGGACAAACUGACAGGUCCAGUUCCAUUUUCCAUCUAUAGCGAAAUAUACAGUAAAAAAAAGCAAAUAAAAGGUCUGAAUAAAGAAAGCUUAAGCAGCUGUUCUUCGUGGGCGAAAAUUCAAUCGGCGCCUUCUUCUCCAACCCUACAAUCUCAUCAAAUUUCACUCUUCUUCCAUUAAUAUCAGGUCUAAAAUCUUCAUUAUCACUGUUCAUUUUCUCAUAUUACACAAGAUCUGUUUACAGUGAUUCGUACAUUAUUUUUUUUUUUUUUUUUGUUAUAUUGAUUGAACAGUUUUAAGAGAUCGAGAGCUGCGAUGUUAGGUGUUUUAAGGCGCAAAGCUAUUUCUAGCGCCUCUUUUACUUCGGUAUGAAUCGUGAUUUAGUUUUAUUGCGUUUGUUUUGAUAUAUUAAUUGCUGAUAUUUGUAUAAUGAGUUGCUGAAAUUAUUUGAUUUUGCUGAACCAGUGUGUAAGGAAAUCUCUGCAUACGGUUCGACCUGCAGUAUGUAAAUCUAGAAUUCCAUCUGCUGCUGCAGAAGAGGUAAUGUCUAUUUAUGAGCUAUCCUCUUUUUUUUCAUUUAAGUGAUUGGAGUUCUUAAUAGGAUAGAUAAAUUGCUAUUUUAUGGAGGUAAAAAAUUCGUUAAAUUGAUUUUGGAAUACCUUUUGGCAAAAAUAUAUAAAUGAUAAAGAAGAAAAAAGAACAUUUCUCCUUUUAGCUCAAGUCAAGUUCACGGUAUGUUAGAUUUCAGCCAUUUUUUGGAUAAGCACAUUUUUUUUUUGGAUAACUGUGGCGUCUGGGUUAGCCUGCACCUCGACUAAUUCCACGUGAUAUCUGUCAUCUCCUACAAGCAACUAGUACCAAAUAACUCUUAUCCACCAAAGAUAUAAUAGCUGCGAAGAAUUCACUAGUCUUUUUGUCUAUCGAGAUUUGAACGUGAGACCUCAUGAUACUCAAUCCACUUCAUUGACCACGAAACCAUGCCAUUGGGUGCAGAUGAGCACAUUAUUUAUAGCCACAUAUUUGAGAUACUUGAUCAUCAUCAUUUUGUCAUUCAUACUAUUGAUGAUUGAAUUUGACAGAACCGUUUUGAUAUUGGUACGUGUUACCUGGAUAAGGAUUAUUGUUUUCUCUAGACUCUAGUACGGUAAAUUUUUAAAUUUAUUAAGAUUUUGAUACAACAGUUUCGAAUUUUGCAGUGUUGUACUCUUAUUAUAAGUAUUGUUAUGAUUGCAUGUGGCUAUCCUUACUUUCUCAUUAUGCAAUGUAUUGGUACUAGCCUUUUUUUUGUGAUCGAUUCUAUCACAUUAUGCUCUGACUUAGUACUAUUCAGAUUCCAUGACAUACUGUCUUAUGGCAACCCUUCUAAUACUUAACCAUUCAGACUCUUAUUUUUGUCCUUUGCCUCGUUAUAUUGAACAUGAGCCUUCAUGCUAUUUGACUUGCUGCUGUUUUUUAUUAACCCCAUUUAAAAGGUCGUCGUGACAUAUUUUGAAAAUGAUAACAGAUAUCAUUGCUUACUAGACAAUGUGGUCAUGUGCGAAAUUUCAAUCAGCUUGUGCUGCCUGGUAUGUGUAACUAAUCCAUGAUGACUCAGUGUAUUUAUACUGGUGUGCGAUAUAAUUAGCUCCUACUUCUUAAUCCAGGGUGCUCAUCAAAUUUGCGCCCAGAAAGGUUAGUAUAUAUUAUUGCUUAACACCUUUCAUAUAUUAUUUGAAUCUUAGAGCAUGAAUAAAUGCACAAUGUAUUUAUAGAAGUAGCCAUUCUAUUUUUCUCUGUCUAGGUCAAACUCGGUAGAAUUUUCCAUUGCUUUAUAGUUAUAUUAUCUGCAUUCAUAGGGACCUAAUCGGUGUUGUUGGAUUUGCUUUGUAUUUUCAUUUGGUUGAAUGAGUAACUAAAAGUUGAGACACUCCAAUUAAAUAUUAAUUACUUUGUGGAUUGCCGGUGUGUGCAUGUCCUUAGAGGAGACGGAGAUAGUGGACCUCUGUCAGUGAAUGUACAUGUAUCAUAAUGAUAGUGUGUGCAUGUCACAUAACUUGAUUUCAAAAGAGAAGUUUGUUCGAUUAGUUAGUUUGUUGUGCACAACAUCAUAUAUUUUGAAAUUGUCUUGAAGCAUUUGGGAUGUCCUAAAGUGAUACCAAUAGUGCCACUUUUUUUCAUGUGUAUAUAACAUCUUGUAUAAAAUAUUUGCACUAAGCUAGUACAGUUAGCUUAGUCACAAGUUGUGCAAAUCAGCUUUGUGUCUAAAAUAUCAUUUACAACUUGUUCAAAAGCUAGUUUGCACCAAAACGCAUCUAAGUUAAGGCACUGUAUGCUUCUUCUUUUUGCCUUAAAAAUUCUGCUAUUUUUUUCUCUGAAUGUCACAUUUUCCCUUGUAGCCAAUUAAAAGGACUCCUAGCAAAUAACCGGGUAAUGCAAUUUGAUCGGCUAACGUAUAAAACACUUGAAGAAGUCUUGACAUGAAGAAGAUUAUAUUGAAUUUCCAUGCAAAUUUAAAAAGGGAUAGCAGUCAAAGAUUGUUAUAUAUGUUAACAAUUUCAGUUGUUCUCUGCUAAUCAAGCCUAGAAACUUCAUUUUUGGUCCCACCGAAAAUCAUAUAUUGUCAUAAUUUAUAAUAUGAAUUUUACCCAAUAUGAAGUGUGUAGGUGUUGGGAAUGUUCAGAUACAUCAAUCUUUUACCUUGUUGUGAUGCUUGGAUUCAUAUAUCUGACCUAACUUGUUUGGGAUCGAGGCAUAUUUGUUGUUGUAUGUUAAUUAAAAAAAAUACGAUACUUGGUGAUAUGUUCAUUCUCUCUCUCUCUCUCUCACACACACACCAGUUGGUUAUAUUAAUUAGUGCAUUGCUUGCAGGGCUGUGACCAAUCUUUUCUCAAGUCCAACACUAUCAAAUUGGAGCAGGCCUUUCUGCGCAAAUAGUGGUAUAUUUUUCUAAUAAUUUAUCAAGCUUGCCUGGAACGCUGAUGCAAAUGAAAUUAGUCACGACAUGCUUACACUGUAUAUAGUAUUGUUCAAAAAUGUAAUCUGGUCUCUUGGUAUUGUUCCUGCAGUUCAUCAUGGUCCCAACUACCAUCACAUGUAUUCUUUAGUACCUUUGAACUUAUAAAUUAUCAGUUAGAUACUCCUAUGUCAGUUGUACCUUCUCUUCUAAAUAAUUAUUAUCUUCACAUACUUUAUUGAAGUUACCCUUUCUUUUCAUCUUUUUUGGGAUUGCGGUCUUAUAUGGAAUUAUAUUAUAGAUACUUAAAAAUGUGACAUGUAUCUUUUGAUUGCCUAUUAUUGUACCAAAUGAUUGGCUGUUAGUUCUGGUCAUUUGCAAAUUUCUGUUUGGACGUGGAAGAAGUAUUUGCGUUAUCUACCUGGAGGAUAUAACUAGUUAACUCAAUUUUAAAAAAAUAUAGCUAGUUAGCAGUUUCAACUCCGUAUAAAGUUCUGUAUCAUCUAUUGGAUCGGGACUGCCAUUAUCAUCAACAUCGAUGCCAUCAAGAAGGGCCUGUCUAUCAUCUUCACCGCAUAGGAACUACUUGAUCACUCCAAUGUUGCCUUCGCAUCCUAGGGUUACAUAUGUCAAUAUGACUCUUUUCAAUAAGUGGAAAUCAUUAUCUUUAAAAGAAUUUAUGAUAAGAUGCUAGUUCAAUUAGUUUAAUGACCCUAUCUUAAAGCUUCGCAUCUGGUGGAGUAGAAGAAAUUUAGAAUUAGUUGGAAAUUAGCACUCUUGUUUACAGUUAAAGAAUGUUGGAAUUCUAAAUGUAUCAUGCAAUAAUGUAUUGACAGCUUCCAUAUAUAUUUUAAUUGUUAUUUCAUUUGCUUUCUCCUUUUCUCUGUCAUCCCUUUUCCCUUAUUCUGUAUUGCUACAGUUCCUCACUUUUUUUUCUUUUAUUUGCGUGUCUAUAAUUGUAAUGUAGGUGAUACCGUUGACGCUGUUGUUCCAUAUAUGGGUGAAUCCAUUAGUGAUGGGACACUGGCCAAGUUCCUGAAGAGUAUGUCUUUAUUGAUGUGGUCUCUGAUCCAUCUUAUAUGCAGUAGUAUUCAUAGUCACUCUGUACUUACUGUUUUUUCAUGUUUCCUUCUAUAUGAGCAGAUGUUGGUGACAGAGUAGAAGUUGAUGAGCCAAUUGCUCAGAUUGAAACAGAUAAGGUACCCUGUUUCUAAUAUUAGUUAAUUUUAAUCACAUUAUCUCAGGUCUGUCUGGAGAUUAAUGACACUUAUAUAUGAAUGGUUUUUAUUGGACAGGUAACCAUUGAUGUUACCAGUCCUGAAGCUGGUGUAAUCCAAAAGGUAGAACAUCUUUGGCACUGGAGCUCUGCGUUGCUCAACCUCCCACCACCUAGUUUAUUACAUUUUAUUUUUUGAUCAACAACUUCUGAAUCUGGUUUUGAAUAUCUAUAGUUUAUAGCCAAGGAAGGGGACACUGUCGAACCAGGCAAUAAAGUUGCUAUCAUUUCAAAAUCUGGUGAGGGUGUGGAACAUGUUGCUCCAUCUGAGAAGUCCUCUGAGAAAGUAGCUCCUGCAGCUGAGGAUAAGAAAGAGGAAAAGGCAAAACCUCAAGUUGAGACAACUCCCGUCAAGGAGAAGCCUAAGGGAAGUUCACCUCCACCCCCUAAACGCUCUCCUACAGAGCUCCAACUUCCUCCCAAAGAACGGGAAAGACGAGUGAGUCAAUAGCUAAUGUUGUUGUAAUCUCAUUGUCAUGGCACUACUCAUUUAUGUAACUUGGCACUUACUGUGUGUUAUCUUCUAUAAUCUGUUUUGAUGACAGGUUCCCAUGACCAGGCUCAGAAAAAGAGUUGCCACACGUUUGAAAGAUUCUCAGAACACAUUUGCUUUGCUGACAACAUUCAAUGAAGUUGAUAUGUAAGUUUGGACUUUGAUUUUGAAUAAGACACUAUUUUUUUGUGCUAAUAUUUCUGCACCUUAUCCUAAGUAUAGAGAAACAGAAAAUUUUGAUCUAGGAAUUGAAGGUUAUAAACUUCAGUUACCUUUUCCAAUUUAUUUUCCUAGAUGCAGAUUGGUCUCUGUUGUGACCUAGGAGGGGUGUGGGCAUUGAUCAGAUGUGAUGUAGUAGUAUUUGUUUUGCAUCUUUGUUGACCUUAUGUUGUAUCUCUUUCUUCAUUGUUGUUCUAUUCAGGACAAAUUUGAUGAAGCUCCGUUCUGAUUACAAAGAUGCCUUUUUUGAAAAGCAUGGAGUCAAGUUAGGAUUCAUGUCUGGAUUUGUGAAAGUAUGAUGAGGACUAAUUUCUGUUUGUUUUUGUAUCUUCAUUGUAAAAUUCUGGCCUAAAAUGCUUAUAUAAAUUUCAGGCAGCAGUUAGCGCACUCCAGAAUCAGCCAAUUGUUAAUGCUGUUAUCGAUGGUGAUGACAUCAUAUAUAGGGAUUAUAUAGACAUCAGUAUCGCUGUUGGUACACCAAAGGCAAGCUAGCUCUUUCUUUGCUUCAAAGUUUCAUAUUACAUGGGCUUGUCUUGCAUAAUUCCUAAUCUGUCUCAAUUUGUCCUUCAAACUCUCUUUUAUAUGGACUCUACUUGUUGAGUUUUUGGCAGUGUUUUUAUAGACGUUUAGAGUGAAAUGAGAACUGCAAGAGAGAGACUUUAGGGAUGAUAUUAAGUAUCCUUUUUUCUCCUUGCUCAGGGUCUUGUUGUUCCAGUUAUCCGCAACGCUGAGCAGAUGAAUUUUGCUGAGAUAGAAAAGACAAUUAACUCACUUGCUAAGAAGGCAAAUGAUGGAAGCAUAUCUAUUGAUGAAAUGGCUGGAGGGUCAUUCACCAUUUCAAACGGUGGAGUGUAUGGAAGUCUUAUCAGUACCCCUAUCAUUAAUCCUCCCCAGGUAUGUAUCGUAGGAAGAGAUUGCAAUUACCUUGUAGUUGUAGAGCUAUCUCACCGUCAAAAAUUUGCUGCUUGAUUUUGUAGUCUGCUAUCUUGGGAAUGCAUUCAAUAGUCAGUCGUCCUAUGGUCGUUGGAGGCAAUAUUGUUCCAAGACCAAUGAUGUACAUUGCUCUGACAUACGAUCACAGGCUGAUCGAUGGAAGAGAGGCAGUCUUCUUCUUGAGAAGAAUCAAGGAUGUGGUUGAAGAUCCCCGUCGCUUGCUCCUUGAUGUUUGAAGAUGAACCACAUCAUCUGGCUUUUGAUUUUGAUCCGUCCGUGGGUAUACCUGAGUGUACAACUCAAUCAUAGAACCAGAAUAAAUGGCAAUAUCAGAGUUUUGUUGGCCUGAGGUGUUGCUUUGGUCCUCUGAUUAUUGCAGCCACAGCUAUAUUUGAGAUUCGCAGAUAGAACCCUAAAGAAUUUACGGUCCUUCCCAUUUACCCUUUUGCACAACUAUAUUUUACUUUGCAUGAAUAUUUAUUUCUCGUUUCAAAAUAUUAAAACCAACCUGAACUUUCUUUGAAUUGGGACACACUUGCAUUAGCCUAUUGGCUAUAGUAUUUUCUUCUGUAUUGGAGAAUUCAUACACGUUUGAAUAUUCAUAAUGUUGGUCCCAGUAUUUUAAUUUUGAUUUAAAUUGUUAUCACCUGCUUUGUGUUUGUGUGGUGUGGGUGGGGAUAGCAUAUGUUUUCCUUUUUUGGUUUGUCACAUGGGAUUUGGAUCUACACAGGAGCUUCAAUGUUCUCAAUAAGAUUCUCUCGGAGCUCUGAAGCAAUCUCAUCGUACCACUAUGCCAUGUUGGUACGUUCUUUAUUGUGAUUCGUGAUCCUACAUAGAUAAUUGGGUCAUUUACUCUUUUGCUCCUAGUUUGUGUUAGUUUUCAAUUAUUGCACCUUUUAAAGCAAAUGAAUUUACGGGGUUUAAGUUUUUAUUUUUUGCAUCAUCAUAUUUUUGAAAAAGUCUAGAUUUUGAACCUGUGUUUUAGUAUUAUUGAUGUUCACUUAUAUGGGACUUCAAUUAAUGUUUGAAUGAUCCAAUAAAAAAAAAUAUGAUUAAUGCAAGCACUUAUUAUAUGAAUUCUGAACUCGCUUUUUAUAGUAUGUGUAAUUCUAACAAGCACUUAUAAUUUAGAGUGAAAUGAAGAAGAGAGAAAUUUAUUAUAUUACUAAUUGGUCCAACUCAUGCAAAAUUAUUGAAUCAGAUUCUCACCGCUACCGUAACCUUCUCCGAUUCCAAAUCCAUAACCAUUACCACCAUUUUCUCCGCCUCCUCCGCCAUCAUAACCUCCUUUGCCGCCGUUACCACCUAAACCCGAUCCCUGUCCACUGCCGAAGCCAAAUCCAAAUCCUGCACCUAUACCACUAAAACCACCACCUCCACCAUCGUCGCCGCCGCCUCCACCUUCACUACUGCCAGCAGCUCCUCCUAUAAUUUGACCAAAUCCUACGCCAUUUUCAACAGGGAUCUCAAAUACUGUAGCUACUGCAUCUCCCUGGAGUUUUCUAGCUGACGUGUCACGUGCAAAUACUCCCAAAAGAAAUAGAAAAAUAAAUGCCUUUGGAUAUUGUGUCGACACUGCAUGAAAAUAAAAUACGUAUAAAUUUUUUAUUUCAACGAGAUUAAUAACAAGUAAAUUACGUGUUACCAUAUGUUAAAAUAAAUAAAUAUUUUAAAAACAUUUAUUCGUAAUAUUAGUUUAUGAAGACAAAAAAAAAAAGGGUGAAGAAUCAUUACUUUUUAUUGUUGGUGUCUGUAUGUAGUGGAAGAAAUAAAGUCAGUUUACCAGAUAUAAUUAUACACAAAGCCAAUAGUUUACAUUAGAGAUAAUAUGAGCUGAAGAUAAUUAAUUUGAGAACCAAAACUGAACAUACAUAUUAUAUUUGUAACAGUAAUGUUUAAUGGAUGAAAAAAUUUAUCCACUUAGUUAAAAACCUUCAUAAAAUUUGAAUUAUAACGCCCAUUACCUUCCUCUUGACAUUCUAAAGAUUGGCCAAAUUUAAAACUUUAUGAUAAAUAUGAUUUUUUAAGUUGAUAUUUAGAUGUAAAUUCAACAACAUAAAUGAUAGAAUAAUAUAUCUUUUGGUCGACCUAGUCUAAUAUAUAAACACUUUAAAAACACGUUAAAUAGCUAAGGCAAACCAAAAAAUUUCAUUCUCUUAACAAACUCCAGUUUCUAAAUCAAUUAUAAAUAACACUCUUUUUAUAACUCAGAAAAAACUAAAAAGAGGAGAAGGAAGUGAUUGUUGCAUUAAAUUGAAAAUUUUGUAGUGUCACAUUAUUAAAGAUGCGUUCAUGAACAAUGUUGAUUUGCUAGGAGUUAAGAAUAUACAAAUCAAAUAGGAAAAUGAUAUCAGCAAAGAAAUUUGUGAACUUUGUUCAACAAAAUGUAUAUUCAUCAUUCACGAUGAUACUCAAGAACUAAUACCCCAAGACAUGUCCAACUAAUAACCCAUAUACUGAAGAAAGUGUACACAAAUAAUUUAACAACACAAUUUUACAAUGAUAACUUGCUCAAAAUUGGCACGAGGCUAUAAGUGCAAGAUAUUGAAAAAGGCUUCGUUCGCAGCAACAAGAUAAAAGAAACUGAUAUUCAGUGAUAUAAACAUCAAGUAACAAGGAAUGGCAAAGGAUAGGACUGCAUAUCGAGUUGCUCGAUAGCAAAAAUGUGGUUACAUUCUAACCUCUAUGCCUUCCUCUGACAGGUGCUCUUUCACGGCUUGAAUGGGAACCUGAAAUUGAGGAGACAAAUUAUAUAAGCCUACAUCAGUCAGAGCUCCACAUUAUGUGUACCGAUAUUACAACUGGGAACUUGAAUUGUUGUAUGUUACUAUACAACGGUUGGUAGGUAGAUAAGAAACAAGUUAUUCAUGUUGUAUUCCAGAAUAAAUACAUAUUGUAUGUUCAGUUUUAAACAAACACUUCCCUCCCAAGAACUCUAGUUCAACCAUGUUUAUGUUCAUUUUUACUUUCUCGUUAGUGUGAAUGAGGUGGUGGGUGAUGAAAAAUGAGGAUGUGCUGUGGCAGGUUCUGUACUGCAUCCCUUUGGUACCAUACAGGCUACCUAUGGCUUUGUUUAAAGCCAUAUAUGUCACUUAAAUAUACACUUUUGGAAGAAAUAAAAAGGCACUUUCAAGAGAGGUUAAUUAUGCUAACAACCGGCAGAUUUUACUUCGAUCAAUUUAAGAAGAUAUAUAAAACCCCUUUAUAUGCAAGGCUUUGCUCGUUAAACACAAACAAUAGGUAUCCACUUUCUCUGAAGAGGUGCAUGCUGCCAGCACUCAGCAGAGACAUUGGCAUCUACCGUGUCUCUCAUCUAACUUCUGCCAAUCAAUCUCUUUUGUUAUCGAGCUCACAGAAACUGAACAUUGAUCAACUUAAAGGUACAAAAGAAGGCAUCUGUUUAAUGUAUAGUCAUGUUACCUCCUUUCUAUGGAAAAUUCCAGCAGCAAGGGCAGCAGAAGCAUUUGUUUCUCUGAAGACCUCUGUAAAGUGUUCAACAGCUCCAGCUCCACUGCUUGCAAUCACAGGAAUGCUUACAGCAUCUGAAACCAACUUAAUUAGGUCUAUAUCAAAUCCCUUUCCUUGACCUGAAAAGACAUAAGAAGAGCAAAAAUUAGGCGUUACAUUGUCCACAAAUACAUGAAGUGGAUUGUUGCCAAGAGUUAAAAAGGAACCCACAGGUUGCAUGACCAAUCUAUUAUCCUAACAAGAAGGGGGGAAAACAAAAGACUGCAAGCUUUGGAGUAGAGCUAAUGGGUGAAUGAAAAUUCUGUCCUAAUAAGGCAAAAAAAGAAGUCAUAUCAAGAGUGGCCAACUAUGCAUGUUUUGUAUGGUUAUAUUCACAAGUACCAUGGAUCAUACCAGGUAAGUUAAGAACAGACAGCUAACCUUAAGUAUUAGGAGAAGUAGAUUAAAGGGGGAAACAGAAAAAUAAUUACACACAAAGGAAGGUGUAAUAUGGCAAAUACUUCUCUCAUCCAAUUUUACCAUUUGUUAAGAGAACUUUUAAAUACAAUGCAAGCAGUGGGUUCAAAGAUGAAACUUUCUUUAACUUUUCACAUUUGAAUUUCUAAUACAACCAAAGCGAGUUUUGGGAAUACUACAUCGAAAACAUCCCCAAUAAAAUCUUUUUGAUUUCUUUGCUUCUAAAACAGCUCCCUUCUGGUGCAAUGGGAACAAUAUCUGGACAAACAAAGCAGAAAGGACAUGCAAAUUCUACUGUUGCUUGGCGAAUAUUACAAUAGAAAUACCAAAUUAUGGCAUUGACCAUCUUCAGACCCAUUCCAACACAACCUCGAAGGUAGAAUAUAUAUACGUCAAACUCAUGAACAUCGUACCAUCACAAUCAAUGCAGUUCAGCAGUAUCUCCCCAGCUCCUAAUUCCUCAACAGCUUUCGCAAGCUCAUAAGCUCCAAUAGGGCGGCCUUCUCUCCCACCACUCACCUUGAAACAUAGAAUUAAAUUGAACUUAGGUUGAAUGUAUAAAAACUAUCAACCGUGAAAAACAAUCUUGAUAUUCCAUGUGACACCAAUAAAAGAAUGAGAUUACAAGAAUAACGGGUUGUAAUUUAUAACAAAAAAGAUUCAUUGCCCACCGUGCACUGGUACCAUGCAUAUUCUUCUCCAUUUGGACCUGAAACCAGUAGACACACUUCAGUUAUUAAUAUUCCCUUCUUGCCCCAUUUUAUCUUGGUCAAGUGAUAAUGUGAUUUUAUGCCAAAUGAUUUCUCUUUCUAUGAGGAAACACUGGAUGCAGGUAAACUACUAAAUUACUUUGGAAGAGAAUAUCUGAAUGCAAUUACCUGGGUUUCGCACUUUCACAGUCCUGAAUUCCACGGCCUUGGGGUCCUUUACAUACACCCUUCGAGGAUCAAUGCUUACAACUACUGCCUACAAUAUCACAACACAUCCAACCAAUUACAACAUUUUUCUUGCACAACAUGCCCACUAAAUAAUGAGUAUGCUAUUCAUAUAAGAAAGAAAGCAGACAAGGAAAAGCGCUUAUGGAUUAAUAUGUCUUAGUCACUCUUCAUCAUUGAUGACUGAAGAGAAAAUUGGAAACUAAGAUAUUCAACCUAGGAUAGUGACACAACAAAUGUGUUAUCAUUACUAUCAGACAUCAAGAAACUAGCAUAAAGUUUAACAUGGCUUUAAAUCAACCUGAUUUCCAUAAACUCGGGAGAUCUGCUCUAGACUGCUCUUUCCAGUUUUCACCUUCAAAGACAGUAAGUGAAACGAUAAACAGAUUGACGUUAUUAUAAAUAAGGAAGCAUUUUUAGUUGAAAAUAAACAGAUUAAUUUCACAUAGAUGAGAAUUACAUACUCCAGAUUUCAAGUAUUCUUCCGCAGCAUAAACAGCAUCACUUCCAAUAGAAAUUUUGUCUGCCCCAGAACGAAAAUAUUCUGAAGCAACUUCCAAACUAGAGUAGUAUCUGCGAAGUAAGUUUAUAUAUCAACUAGUGAAGUCAGAUCAUCGUCCACAAUCCCUAAUUAACAUUAUUCAAUUUUUCAACUCAGUUUUAGGCAAACAAUUUGGAAGAUCAAAGCAUUAUUGAUUGAAUGAAUAGAAUAACAAAUAGCCAUAAACCUGCCAUUCGCAUCUUUGAAGUCUCUAAUACCACCUCCAACGGUUAAUGGCACAAAAACAUUCUCUGAUGCAUACCUCAAUACCUAAAUGGCAAAUCAAGUAGAACAAACUAUCACAAAACAUCAUCUUUAUCGGGAACAAUUAAUCAGAAUAUUGAACUAAAGAACACACCUGCAACAUUGGCAGAUCACCCAAGGGAAAGUCUCGGAAAGCAGUAAUAUUUAAAAAGCUAACCUAAACCACAGAAAGCAACUAAUAAGUCUAGGGUCAGGUUAGAGUAACAUAAGAGUUACAGAUAACUAAUGCUAAGAUAAACCUCAUCUGCCCCAUCCUUGUAAUACUGUCCAGCAAGAUCCACGGGCUUGCCAAGGUUUCUCACCUUCAGGAAAGACAAUCAUUUUUAAAUAAAGGAAUGUAGUGAAAAAAUAGAAUCAAGUAAGACAUCCACAUGGGUUUUUUAAAGAGUAGAUGUCUACAAAAUUUAUGCUUUUGGUGUAACGGCGAUAUAGUAGAUAACUUAGAUCAGCUGAUGGAAUUUAUAGGUGUUUUAUAAAUCAACUGAUACAGCUAUACAAAAGCUUGUAAGUUUUUGGAUACCUCCUUGGUAUCUUAUCCUCAAAAGAGAAGAAUUAAGUGCCUGACACCAAGAACCUUUGAGGACACAAAGCAGCUCGCUAACAAGCUUCCUCGUUAUCUUUCUAUUGUUCCUUCUGUUUUCAUUCAGAUAAUUUACAAGUAUGAGUCCUGAACCACUUAUCACAGAGAGCCAACAGCUCUGGCAGCCUAAGAACUUACAAUCUUAUAGCUUCCGUUUUCUAAUCUCAGAGCAAUAGAUUGGACAAAAAAUAAGAACUAGCAAUUUUUUUCCCUUUAACAGCGGAAGAAUACAUCCCUUUAUUUUUUCGAUAUAAGAAAAUGACAGUUUAUUUUCCUCAUAAUCUUUUUUACAUCUCUUGAUGAUCUCCUUUUCUAAAUAAGUUCUGUCGGCUCUCAGUUUUGUCCACUUUCAACUGUCUGCAGACCAACUCCAAUGUUGAACAGCCUAAAAGAUUAAUUUGAACUGGCAGAGCUCAAAAGGAGAUGAUGGUUAAACAAUGACUAAUGCUCACUUACCUCAUUUUCUUCUGUAUUCUCUCUAACAUCGUAUUGGUCUCCUUUGGUUACAACCAAGUCACCCUUAUCAUUUGUCCUCACAUCAAGACAUGCAAUAACCUAAGUAGUCACAAAAUUCACUAACUUCAGCAAUACAAAUAAAUAAAAAUUCUGAGAAAUAAGUUACUACUAAGAUGAAUAUGACCUACCCGCUUUGCAAGUUUAGAGGCAUUCCCUUGGACCAGCUUCUGUCUUGCAGAAAGCUUUCAUGUGUUAGAUGCUUUGAACAGUUAGCUUGAGAAGUAAAGCACUAAGUCAUAAGCAUCAUUAAUACCUGCGUUCUCCCGGAUUUUGGAUUCAAGAACCUCCUCAAUACAGAAAGGCCAACAUCUGGAAACAUUGUUCCACCAGUUUAAGGAGAUAAUGAUUAUAAGAAGACAAAAAUUAAAGCUCAAGGGGUUGUGUGUGUAUGCUUGUGUAUAUCACAUAUUUUUGUUCUUUUUCUGUGUGUGCACGCCUACACAUACUCUCUCUCUUUAUUUACAACUUUAAUAUUGUGUUUGACCAUAAAGAUCAAAAUUAAAGAGGGUCAUUUUUGUGCUCUUCAAAAAUGAGAAAACAAAUUUAAGUAUCAAUGAACGACAUGCAAAAGGUUAAAAGGGCCUAUAAUAUUGAUAAUGAUCUUAAAUUUUUUUCGGCUAUAUCCUUAACAUAUUCUCCGUUGAUGUUUGGAGGACUGUGCUUACAUUAUGAUCACUUCCAUGCCCUCUAUGCUACAUUCAUCAGAUAAAACAUAAUUUAAAUUGAUCAAACAUAAUUAGGUUAACAAGAAUUUUGUCAUAAUUGUUUCUUUUCUUUCAUGCUUCAAAAAUUUUGAGGAAAUCACUGUACCACCGCUCUUCUCAGGAUGAAACUGAACGGCAUGGACAUUUCCUCUCUGAAUGGAUGCUAUGAAAUCGUCACCAUACUUGCAGGUCGAUGAUAUCCACUCUCUAUUUUCAUCUGACUAAAUUACGAGAAAUGUUAGAAUCAAGCUUCUUGCGCAUGUACUAAAUAAACUUAAAAAUUAGAAAAAAAGAGGAUGGAAUCACUAUCAAUAUAUAUUUACUCAAUGAGAAUUAGUACCGGCAUUGCCCGAUAAGAAUGUACGAAAUAGACAUGUGAAUUUCCAACGUCAUCCAAAAUUUGAGUAUCUUUUGCUAUUUCAAGUGCAUUCCAGCCAAUGUGAGGUACUCUGAUCCCUUUAGAAGAGUCAAAACGUCCAACUACUCCAGGAAUCAAACCAAGACCCUUUACUGAUAAACGUGUUACAAAGUCAGUUUCUCAGAUGAAGCGGCUAUAUGUUACAACGAUGCAUGAAAUUGAGGGCAAGCAAACAGAGAUAUAUAUAUUAGAGAGUAACGAUCACUUGAAUUUGGGGGAUGGACUAUGCAAUGGAAAUUAUCAUCAAAAUAUACUUUGGAACUGGAAAAGUGAAACCAAAGGACUCAAUGUAUGACAUCAAUAAGGUAACAAUGUAAAGCUGGUAGAUGGCCCAAUUUCAUUUCCUUUGGUAUUAAAACUCUUGUAGCUACAACUGCAAGCCUUGGAUCCUCAUCCAUGAUGAUAUUCCAAAAUACACAACCAUUUUAAGUGCUAAAAUGAUCCUGUCUGCUCUUGCAGCAUACAUUAAUCUCAUACUUCAUAAGUUAAGCAUCUCGCUGCAUGAGGUUCCUCUUUAAAGUUAGAAAAAAAGCCACUUCACUAGAACUCAUUUAAUUAUCAAAUGUCUAAAGCCAUAAAUAUACUUAAUGUUAAUUUGUGACCUUGUCCAUUUUCUUCACUUGACUCAAAAAGUAGCUGCAGUCCAAGACAAAUGCCUAGGAAUGGGCGAUCUUGCUCAAUGUAAGCACAAAGUGCUUCAGCCAUUCUGCAGAACAAUUAUCCCCAUAAUUUUCAGCAAAGCCAAAAAAUAAUAAUAUGGAGUGAGAAAAUAAAACAGAAGAACAAAAUAGAGAUGCAUGAACUUUCUGUAGACAUGUUCUUAUCGCUGCAAAAGCUUUAACCAAAAUAAAUUAGUACUAUGUAUUUUUAACUGGUUCGUCAAAUAUGGUGUUGGUGUGUCUUUAUUAGUACUUUUUUUGCAGAAAAAGCCGUAAAUACAAAAUACUGGUUGAUCAAUCUCAAUCAAAUACUAUCUUUUUACAUGUAUAUGAAGCAAGAGGUUGUAUUGUCCCAAAAGCCAGAACCAUGCUUAAGUUUUAAAUUUCUCAUAUGGCGAUACAGUAAUUUAAAUGUUUAUUUACAAUGAGAAGUACAGAAAAAAUAAACAGUUCCAUCCCUAUGUGUAGUAUGGAUGAAAACCAUACCCCUUCUUGUUUAGCACAUCCAUGGCAGGAGCAAAAGCACCAACCCCAGGAAAAAUGAGUCGUUUUGCUUUCAAAAUGUCCUGUGGUGUUUGGACCUGGAAGACGUUGAAAAAGAAAAGGUAUGCAAAGAGCUUAAUCAAAAUGAAAAAGGUACGGAAAGAGAGUAGAGAAGAGUAGAAAAAAACUGAAAAUGCAUGCAUACUUUCUCCAUUUUGGCUUUGGCACGCUCAUGUAAUAAACUUUUCACACCUCCCCACAAUAAUUAAACAUAAAUUAUUCCAUGAUUCAUAAGUUAAAGCACAGAGAUUGAGGUGCAUGGAUAUACUCAAAUUCUCGAAGUACAUACACGCUUAAGGUUCAUAUGACAAAGAGCAAAUUCUCGAAAUACAAACACUUAAAGGUUGAUAUGACAAAAAGAAAAUAAUAUAUGAAGGGCAAAAAAAACUGAAAAUCCAUUCAGUUGUUGCUCACCAAGACACUGGGAAACAACAAGCCACGGUAAUUUCAGUUCCACUACUUUAUAAGAGUGCAAACUUCAUUUGUAUGAACAUAAGAGUAACACUGAACUAAGUAAAUGAUGUGCAUAAGGAAAACUAAUUUGGUGCGAUGAAUACAUAAUACGUUCAUCUUUGACUUGCAUUUCUCUUAAUUUCCUACAAAUACACCUCAAUUUUAAAUACUCAAAUUAGAAAUAAAAGCCACAACAGCAAAAGCAGAGAAAGUACAUCUUUGAUGUCGAAACCGAGAUAUUUAAUUGCAUUCCUGACACUCCGCACAUUGCCAGCACCAUAAUCAAGUAGAGUUACCACUGCAAAACAAUUAUAGCAACAAGCAUUACAGUCUCGUAAGCUGCUUAUCAUCAAAUUAAGCCAUCAUUUCACAUAUAAUUAACAGUGUUCAAGUGUUUCUGCUCAUUGAUUUAUAGUACUCAACAUACCAGAAUCAUCGGCACUGGUGGCGGAAGCGCGGGCUGAGAAGCUUCUGGAAGAUUUGUAGUUCAGAGGUUUCGCAUUAGGCUUGUAACGCAGGAAACGAAGAGAUUGAGAAGUGGAGGAAUAAGAUGAAAACGGUGUCGUCGUUGAUGAAGCAGAAGUGAAACUGGCCGCCUCCAUUUUCUCUUCUUCGAGCUUUCUGGUUCAUCAGUGUAAUAAAAGUAUUGUGUUAAUUUAGCUGGAAUUCAAAGAAUGGCUAUUUUUUAAAACUUGACGGAACCAAAAAUGAAAAGGUUCUAAUUGGUAAUGGAUUUUGAGUCCAUAUUGAGAAACUUAUUGAUUUGGGCCUUGAGCCCAUGUUUUAGAAGGCCUUGAGUGGUAUUUUGUGCCUACUUGGAAUAUUUUUAAGAAAAUGACUAGGGCUGGGCAUAAACACCGAAAAAUUGAAACAUCGAAUCGAACUGAACUUUUUUGAUAUUUUGGUUUUGAUUUUUGAUUCGGUAAUCGGUAUACGUUUUUGUAUUUUUUGGUAUUCCAUUCGAUUUUCUGUAUGUAAAUUUGUGUUAUUCGGUAUUUUGAUUUACCAAAAUAUAUUAUAUUAUAAUAUGUAUUUAUAUUAUAUUAAUUAUUAAUGUUAAUAAAUAUUAUAAUUUAAAAUAAAAAAUAAAAAAGUAAAAGACACUUUUUGAUGUAACUAUUUUUAGCCCAUUAAGCUGAAAAAUCAAAAAUAAAUUAUAAAUUUUUAAAUUUUAAAAAGUCCACUAAGCAGGCCUAUUAAAAAACUGAAAUAACAAAAUCGAAUUGAACCGAAAUAAUUCGAUUCGGUAUUCGUACACGUCGUACAAGAACCGAAAACCUAAAAAAUUGAAAUUGAACCAAAUUACCGAAUGCUCACCCCUAAAAAUGACAACUUUAAUUUGGCCUCAACUAACACCUCAACUUUGAACGACGUGGACAGGUAGACACUUAAACUUAUAUAAACUUGAACAUGUACAGACUCAUACAUGACAUAAUAUGUAUCAGUUUGAGUGUUGUCACGCGAAAUGUCAUGUAGAAUGUAUGUUUCUACUUGUGCACACUCAAAGAUAGAACACAUAAAUGUUAACUAAAGUCAAAUUAAAGAGCACGUUUGUUGCUUCUUUCAAAUUUUAUGUGCUAAUUCUUGAAUGUCACAUUAUUAUGUCGUUGACUUUGAAUGUGUUACUUGAAUCAAUGAUUUAUAGGAAAUAACAUUAUUACCUUCAUGAGAUAUGGACAAAGUUAGAGUACAAAUCAUCUUUCUGAAAUCUUCGAUAGUGUGAUUAUAUUGAAUAUGUGCAAUGUUGUUACGAUUCUUGAAAGUCAUUAUAAUAUUAUAUGAACGUCACUUUCUAUGAUAUUUUAGAUGAAUCGAGUAAUAUAAAAAACAAUGAUUUUAUAUAAAAAAUGAUUUAUUAAAUUUAAUGUAAUAAAAUACAAUUUGAGUUAUUAUUCAUUAAAGUUGAACCAAGUAAGAAUUUGAAAUCGAAAGCUCCAAGCUAUCAAAUGUGAUUGGUUGGAUAUUCAUGGUGGUUGAUUUUCAAGAACUAUUUUGAUUGUCAAAAAUGUUGGCCAAGUAUUUUUCUUUCAAAUAUUCUGUAAAAAAAAUAUUUUAACAUAAAAAGUAUAUUCACAAGUACAAUACCCCAAACAACUUUUUUUAAAAAAAAAUUAUUAUAGAAAAGGUAGCAUCACGAUUCACUCCUAAGGAUACAAAUAAAAGUAGUUCAUGAUUAGAAGAAUAUAGAAUAAUAUAAAAUAAAAUGAAAAGAGGAAUAUAGUCAAAAUACAAAUGGAUAGGAAAAAAUAUGAUAAUUGAAAGAGGGUAUAAUCCUUACAUAUACUAGGUGAAGUCAUUGCUUUAGUCAGGAUUAUGACAUUAAUUUAUAUGCUUUAUUUUUCAUGACCCAAGAAGAAAAAAAGGGGGGGGGGGGAUUUAUUUGAAUAUUUUGGUACUAUGUAGCAUAUUCUUUAUAAUUCCAAUCUAUAAUCAUGGGAAUAUGGUGACAAAUUUCAUGUUGUUGUUAUAAUUCAGCAAAGUAUUGUUAAUUUCCAAGACUGAUCAUGGUUAUUGUUUAAUAGUCAAGGCUAGUGGGUGACAAAAUCAAUGCAUUUUAAUUUAUCUAAAUUUUAAUUUUUAUUGAACGAAUUUAACUCGAAAUAACUUAUCAAAUAUUAAUCAAAAUAAGUCAAGUUGCAAUUUUAAACCAAACACACAAAAUCAAAUUUAGAAAUUAGAAAGUUAAAAAAAGAAAAAAAGUUUCAAUUAUUUAUUCAAAAAGGAAAAUAAAAAGGAGGGAGAUAGUGUGUUGUGACUUGUGACCCGUUAUUUGAUCCAUUAAGCAAAUUUUAAUAGAUCAAUUUAUGACCUUUUAAUAAAUUCUAUCUAGCAUAAAUCUAAACAUAAUUCAUCCAUUUGACACACGUCUAAUAUACAUAAUAGAAUGAUGCGAAAUUGAAAUUGUACUAAACAAAUAUUUUCUUUUCAAAAUUUAAAAUUUAUAAAUUCAAAAUUCUCGAUUGAUACAUAAUGAUUUGAUACGUUACUUGCCUCUGUAUUAUUUCUAUUUGGUCGGUUUGUAGAUAAGAAGUAGUACGUCCACAACAAUAUGGAGCUUGACAUAACCACCCCACUAGUAUGGCUUGUGGACCAACACUAAUUGCACCAUUUGGAAAAAGUCAAGUGUUCUUUGCCUCUUCAAAGUAUGAAAUAAUUGUUUGGCAAAUUGAGUAAAACUUAAUAAACCAACCCCUAUUCUUCCAAACUCCAAAAGACAAAAAAAAAAAGAAAAAUUAAUGUUGCCUAAUUCAAAGUGAAUUUCAAUGAGUUUACUAUAUAGUCUACGGAAGAAAAUAUAACUUUAAUUUCUCCGUUGGCCUCAUUUUUUUAAUUUUUAUUUUAGUUCAUUUGAAUUACAAAUGUCUAAAUUGAUAAUUUAUACGUAUUAAACAGAUCUCGUGAGAUAACUACAUAAGUUACUAAGUUCGGUCUGUUCCUGCAUGUGUGCAACACUUAUAUUAAAAGUUUCAAUCGAUUAAUUUGGAUGUACAACACGAAAGUAUGCGCAAAGUUGCUUUGAUAGCUACAUGUUUCAAUAGAAGUCAAUUGUCUUCGCUCAAAUAUAUUUAUGUUAAAAUUUCUUCUAAUACACAUAAAAUACAGAACCUAACCAGCAAAACUAAUCAUGAUCCGAAACACAUGAACUAAAUUUAUUUAUUUAUGUUUUGCUUCCACUUUCUUUAUAUAUGUUAAUUAAAUUUUGAGUAUAAUUACAAGCAAAAUUUACUAGAUAUCAUCGAAUCUUUGAUUUUAACACUGACUUCAUUCCUUUGUGUAUAACGCAUAAAAAGAAAAACGUCUAUAUUAUAAUUUUUUCUUAUACAUAUAAUUAUAAUUCAAGACUUCUGAUUAAGCGUGGAAGAACGAUCUUAUUCAAUUCAUCAUUACACUUGGUGGUCCGUUGACUUCAUUUCAUAUCUCUAAUAAACACCUAAUCUAUUCAAAAUAAAGAAGGUUUCAAAAUGCUAUGGCCCAAUAGAAGAAAAACGAUAUAAUUUUCCCCGUUGACCUCAUAAGUUGCGCCCAUUCACCUAAUCUUAUUCAAACUUUUAGAAUGCUCCAAAUACAAUGGCCAAAAAUUACUUGACUAUACUUUUCCUCCAAAAAGUCCAUUGUGUUCACACUCAACAGAACAAUUACUACUUCAAAAAAAAAAGUCCACGCACACUGUUUCAUGUUUAGAAAAGUAGAACUCAUAUGGUGAUGUAAUAUCUGCUUUUUUCGUCAACGAUUUAUAUUAUUGAUUUCAAAUUCAGAUAAAGAACAAAAGUUAGCAAGAUAAUUUUUUAUAAUAUUAUAGAGAACAUAUUUAGUGUAUAAUAGUGAAUAGUAUCGAGUGGUUUUACUUAACUUAGAAAAAGGCUAAAAAGUUAAAAAUAAAGUUAAGAGACUUAUAAAAUAUCUUUACACGACAUGUACAUGUAAUUAAAUCUAAUUAAUUCUAGCCUUGUGAUUUACAAUAUUUUUCCAUGUCACAAAGACACAAAGUGACAAAACUAGUACUUACUGGCAUUUAUCCGUUUGCCUUGUUAAUGAUAAAUUACAAUUGAGUAUAAUCCUACCAGUCGAGUCUACAGACUGGUUACAUAUUACACAAAUCUUAUUUCUGUCUCGUGUGGAUAUAGAGAUUAUUUUUAAAAAAUUAUUGAAUUUAAAAAGAAGAAAUAUGACAACUAACGUCAAAUGAGAAAAUGAAUACAUAAUUGGACCAAAAAAUUUCAAUCUUUUCAUUUCAGAAUCAUUGAAUUCAGAUACAAAAACAUCUCCAACAAUCUCAGGAGAAAUAAUCAAAUUUAUACUACUAUUAACCGUAUGAAAAAUGCUAAUAAUCUCAUAGUUAAUGCAAUCAACUAAAAGAGCUUCUAAGUUCAGUGAGUCCACAAUCUCAUCUUCAGGAAAAAUUAUUGACACUGAUGUAUCCAUAUCCAACAAUUCUCCAAAAUCAUCGAUCAUCUCGCAGUUUUGCUCUGAAAUUAUCGAUUUUUCUUCUGUUUCGUUGCUUCUAACUGUCACCCAAUCUUCAUCCUCAAUCCAAUUAGGCAUCAAAGAGCAUGAUAUUCCCUCAGUACCAAUCAAUUGUCUGAUCCUAUCUGCAGCAGAAUCAAUGGUGUUGGUUGACUCGAAUGAAGACGAUUCCAUCACCUCGAACGAAUUCCAAAACCCCUGAUCCAAAAUGCUUGUAGGAGAAUCCCUCUUCAAUUCUUCAAAUUUCCAUGAAUUUGUCUCUACAGAUUGCAAAAACGGAUGUUGAAGAAGUUGUUUAGCAGUCCAACGCUGGUUCGGGCAUUUCAUCAAGCAUUUACCGAGAAAUUCUGUGGCAUCCUUUGACAUAUUGUUUGGGAAUUGUGGCAUAUCCCCUGAAUAACCAAUUCUAUACAGAGCAGAAACAGGAUCAUUGAUCUCACACCAAGGAACUAAUCCUGUAGCCAUCUCAAUAAUUGUACAACCAAAAGCCCAAAUAUCAGCCGCAAAUCCUUGUUCUUCGCUUCGAGCAACUUCAGGUGCCAUAAAAGCCGGUGUACCGGAAAAUCCAGAAUUUUUUCCAUCUUUCAUCAAUUUCGCACAUCCCAAAUCAGCAAUUUUAACAUUCCCAUUUUCACAAAUCAAAAUGUUCUGCCCUUUCACAUCACAAUGCACAAUCCCAAUGGAGUGAAGAUAAUCCAAUCCCUGUAAGAUUUGUUGAGCGUAUAAUUUGAUCAUACAUUCAUUCAACGAACCUCCUUGUCUCUUAAUCAAAUCAGAAAGAGUUCCACCUUGUACAUACUCCAUAAACAUAUUAUAAACUUGUUCAUUUUGUUCAAAACCGAAGCACUUAACUAAAAACGGGGAAUUCAACUGAGAAACAAGAGAAUACUCUCUUUGCAAACAAGAUUGUUCAGUAGAUUUAACAGCAAAGACUACUCCAGAAGAAUCGGUAGCGAGUGAAACAGUGGCCGAAGAGCCACGGCCAAUUAUCGGACCACGAAUCCACUCCAUUGAAUCGAUUGACUCAGCUCAAUUGAUACUUUGAUAGUAUAGAAAAAUGGAAGAGAAGUUUAGGUAUAUGAACUCAACUUUAGGCAAAUUUGUUAUAUAUAAUGAAAGAAAAGUAUAUGCUUUGUGGUGAUAUUUAUAUGGUGGAAAAUAUUUUGCCUACAAAUGCAGCUAAGUAGUUAAUGGCUAUUGAGUGGAGUUGGGGUCUUUUAUAAGUAGGUGAAGUGUACAAAGAAUCUUCAUUGUAUUUGAACCAAUGACAGCAAUGUAUUUGCUUUUGUGUACUUUUCACUAUAAAAGUCUUUUCCUUCUUUUGUAACCGGAAGAUUAGAGUAUAAAUUUAAAAUUUAUGAAUUUCACAUAAUUAUCAGAAUAAUAUGCACGUUUAUUAAAAUUAUUGAAUUCAGUCGAGUUUACAAGCUUUACGCCUUGCGUGUAGCAUCUAAGGAUAUAGUAACGAAACAAAUUAAAAAUCAUAAAAUUUCUAGUUAUUUUCAAGCGAAGAUAAAAGAUUUUUUUAUAGUAUUUCUUUUUUUAUUUCAAUUUAUAACGUUCAGUUUAAUUUUUAGUUAGUUGUCAAAAGAAUAAAUUUGAUUUUAAAAUUCGCAUUUUAUCCUAGUGAAAUGAUUUAUAAUUAAAAUUAAAAGUUUUUUUUUAGAUUAUGUAGCAAAUCAAACUACAUCAUAUCAAUUAAAAUAAAGCAAUUAAAUAAUUUUUUUGACACAUAUAAGUGAUGAUUAAUACAAUUACUCUUUAUCUACAUAUCAAUUAAAAACAAUAAAUAUUGAUAAAAUUAAUCAAAAUACAUUCAAAUUAUCGGUAUAAAAUUUCCUGCCUUUGUAAUUUUGCCUCUUCAUUCUUAGUUAGAGGCAAGAAAAAAACUAAGUGAAGAGUGAACCACGUGUUGGAAGGAAGAACAGUUGACAGCUUUGGCCGACUGCGGACUGCUGAGCGACGUUAGCUAUAAUAUGAAUUGUGGUUCAUUAGUGAGAGUAUUCUAAUUCUUAAUUAGAAGUUUUGAGUUUGAAUUUCUGAAUAUGAAAAAAAUUAUAUUUGAAAUAUUAUUUUAAGUUGUCUCUAUAAUAUGCAAUUGGGAUUUAAUCAAAGCUUUAAUUUGAACCUCAGACGUCGAAAAAUUAAAAAAAAAAGGCGUCCACGUGAAGACACGUAUCACCGCUAUCGUAAAAUCAUAUUUCUCUGCUUUCCACUUCACAUUGCGGCGCGUUUUACUGUUUGCGCAAGGGACCGCGCUUUUAAAUCUUUACCGAGUAAAGUCCUAUACUAAUUAAUAUGGGGAGCCUUUAACUUUAUUUUAUUCUAUGUGAAAGCUAUUAUUAGUUCAAAAGAGUUAAAUAACUAAUAAUUACUUUCCGUCCCUUCUGUUUUAUAUUAUAAGUCAUUUUUUUUAUUUGUAUUUAUAUUAAGAAAUAAGAUGAUUUUAUUUUUAUGUCCUUAUUUAAUAGUUGCAUAUGUUUUAAGAUUAGGCGAAGUAAAUAUGCUUCAAGAUUAAUUGAUAGAGACAUGAUGAAUAAAAAUUAUAGUACAUAAUUAUUUUAAUUAUUUCUAAUAUUUUUAAUAUAUUUAUGUUUAAUAAUAACUUUGAUUUUAAAUGCUCGUUUUUCAUUUAUUGAAAUAAUUAUAAUCAUAAUACAUAAUUUUGGUUUUUCUCAAAUCAUUAAUUUUAGUAAAAGGUUUUUUACAAAAAAAUUAUAGUAAGUUGAAUUAUAUCGCAUAAAUUGUGAUAAAAAUAAUAAUUUUUAAAUAUUAUUAGUUAUAUGGGAUUGUAAAUAGUUUUUAAUAUAAUUUAUAAAUCUGUAUAUUUUUAUAUAAUAGACAUAAAUAAUAAUAUCUAAAUUCACUUUAAGAUAAUUGUAUUGACUUCUUGUACUUAAAAUCUCUUCACAUAAUUAAGAAGAAAGAAAUAGCUUGGCCAAUUUUUCAAGAAGCAAAAGUUGAGAUAUUUGACAAUAUAAAUAUCUUUGAAUAGUGGCAGAAGCUUGAAGAAGUAAUUUCACUUUUUGUAAGUUUGGCAAAGUAAAAUUGACUAUUUUAAUAUUAAUGAGGGUGUUUUUCCAAUUAAUCAAAAUUCAAAAUUACACUUUUUAGAAGUAUUAGUUUUUUUUCAAAACAUUUUUGACAAGAUAUAUUUUUAAAAAUUUAAUCAAACAGAUUAUAAAUCGAAUUCGAAAAAGGUCAAUUCAAGUCUAAGGAAGACUCAGCAAGUCUUUGCGCGAUUGCAGUUUUUUCAAUGUGCUUACAAAUGUGAAACUAAGAAUAAAAUGGUAUGUUCACAUGAUCAAUAUUUUAUCAUAGACUAAACAAACUUUUAUUUAAAAGUUUAAAGUAAAACUAACUAUGAAGUAAAGUCUUCAUGAGAAUUUUAUUUUGUAAUUAAAUGUUAAUACAAAGUCAAUUCAUCAUAUUUAAUUCUAGGCCAAGUCUUGUGCAUUCACAUUACCGUCAUAAUGCCUUAAGCCUGCCGUCAAUUUCGUAAAAUGAACACACAUUUCCCCUUCAUUUUUCAUGUUUUUACUUUUUUGUUAACUAGGGAAAUAUUGUGAGUAACUGAUAAAAUUAUUGUUAUGUAAUGUGGUUUAAUUUGUGAAAGCAAUUUUUUAUAGAAAAAUUUGUGUAUAAUUUUCAAAUUUUGAUUCUCUCCUGAAUCUCAUGCAUAACGAGAGUUUUAAUACACUGAAUUCAUUAUUUUCUUAAUCAUACUUUCUUCGUCCCAUUUUACAUGUCAUCUUUCGAAUUUCAAGAGUCAAACAUUUUGAAUCAUCAACUAUUAUAAUUCAUGAUACUUUUUACGUAAUUUAUAAAUAUAUAAAUUUUAUUUUAAAAAUUGAAAAUUUCAUAUAGCAAAUUUAAACUAUUUAACUCUUAAAAUAUAAAAUAUGUCAUAUAAAUUGAAACAAAGAAAAUAUAAUUUAAGCCUUUAAAAACUAUAUUCUUAUGGAACGAAGGACUCAACAGUCAACACGAAGACGGUCGAAUUUUUAAUUUCCAGUAUGACUUGCCAUAUUUUUUAUUUUCAAUAAAAUUCAAUAAGAAACUAAAUAAGAAGUGUUGGAGAUUUAGCAUUUUAAUAUUAAAAAUGUUAUAUUAAAGGUUUUGACUUAGUUAGGAUAUAUAUAUAUAUAUAUUAUUCAGUGUAUGCUAUUUAAAUUAAGUUCGAUUAAAUUUGAAUUCGUAUGAAAAAAAUUCUCAUUUGAAUAAAACACUCCCUAAUUACAAAAACGAAAUUAAAGAACACUUAUCACCCUAUCAAAACUCUUGUCGGGUGAAUAUACAAGUACCUUUUGCAUAUUAAUAAACCUAUAAAUAAAGUUGAAGGGGUAUAUGAUACAUUUAAUCUUACUAAAAAAAAAAUGCUAGCGUCAUUGACGCAUGAAAGUAUAGCAGCUAUACAUUUAAAUAUUAAAAACCGUAGACUUCCUUUUUAAUUCUUCAAUUGUACAUAAAAUAAAUUAGGAGAGGGACGAUUUAUAUAAUAUAAAAAUUAAAGUCAAACAUAUAAAUGUAUUAUGUGUGUGAUACUUAACGCAAUCGCAAAAUUAUAAGUUUUGGUAUAAAGUCAAAAUUAAGCAUCCAUUUGAUAUUACGAGUGACAAAAUAUUUUUGUAUAUUAGAAAGAAGUACGAGUGUAUAUAUUUAUUAAAUGAUCAUUGACCUAUUGAAAAUAAAUGAACAAAAUAAACUUACUUUCUUUUUUUUUAUAUAAUAUUUAAAAAAUUAUUUAAUCUUUUGUUAUUUCAUCCGAACUGAAAUUUAUAUAUUUAAUCACUUUGUAAUGACAUGACAUAUAUUCUUUUAAGUAUAAAUAAAUAAAAAUAUUAAACUGAAUUUAUUUUAAUCAAAACAAAAUUCUAUUUCAUUUGAUCAAAUACAUGUUCUAAUUUAUUUAUUACUUUUUUUUUUGUAUUUUUAUCAAAAGUCCUUUAACUUUUAUAUUUUUGAAACCUAUUUUUUCUAAACAAAAUGUUUUCCAAUCAUGACCUACAUUUCUAUCACAUUCGAGGAAGGGAUGAUAAUUGUGAUGAGCAUAUUUAAUUUUUGGUCAAAAAUAUUGUAUAUCGUGUCUUAUAAGUAGAGCUUAAUUAGGGAUUCAUCUGAAUCAUCUAUAACAAAAAGAUUAUAAUAUUUAUAUAUGAUAUCGAAUUUUCUUCUACUAGUUACAAUAUGUUCAUUUUUUUAAAUUUUAAAUCUCAGUAAAAUUUUUGACUUCGUCAUUUCGAAGGAUUAAAUAGAGAAGUAAACGACAUAUAUUACAUAUUUUGUGUGCGCCAACCUGACGUAUCGUAUAGCUCAGCCAAGAAAAAAGAAUCCACACAACACGAUUAAAAUUUAAAGCAUUUAAUUCCUUAUCGUUUUGGUCGAACUACCACCACUUUUUUUUUUAGAAAAAAUAAUGAAUAUUGUUGUACACUAGUUUGGUAAUUUAGGUAAAAAGCUACAAGAGGAAAAAUUAAAAGCCAAUUUAACGGCUGCCAAGUUGGUACAACAAACUUCUUUUUUUCAUCUUUACUUAUUAAAGUUAGAUUCCACAACCUCAUAACAACAGUUAAGCAUAGCCGCCCACAACUGCCCUCCAAGACAACAUCUGACGGACCUAGUAAGGAUUUAGGGAUUUAUCUGAAUUAUCUUUAACGAAAAUCAUAUUGAUUAUAUAUGAUUGAAAUGAUUUUUUUACGUGAAUAUGCAUUAUGUAUUUCGUAUGUAUAGGUUUGAUGGUAAUAUUAGCCCAACUCAUAUUGGAUUUAAAUGAGUCUAGAAAUAAAAGUUAUUACACAAAUUGAGAUUGGAGGAAUAUUUAUUAAAUUGUAUCUUAGUUUUACAUAAUAAUGUGUUGUGGAGUGAGGAAUGCAUAUUCUUCUUGUUGAUAAAACACAAAUUAAUAGAUAUUUGUGACGAAUAUGAUACAACACAUGUAAAAUUUGAAUAAAUGCUAGUUGAUAAUUAACGUUUAAAGUAUAGGCAAACGUGAGAGUACUUGUUUUUGGUGACUUAAUUUGUGUCAUUAUUCAUUACAUGUAUAAAUUAUGAUUAUAGUACUUAUAGGAGAGAAAUAAAGCAAAAAAAAAUUAAAGGACGUAACUUUUCAUAACUUUUGCAAAGUAUAACAUGUUUGAUCAAGUGUUUAAAUAAUUAUUUAAAUUUUAUCACACGAAACAAUACAUAUUUUUAAAAUUUAAUUAAUUAAACUCAAUUUAUUACGUCAUCUUCAAAAGUAUUUUUACCAAAAUCACUUAUGACAAAAGAUAUUAUUACAAACAAACAUAUUUUGAAAGCUCCACCAAAAGGACCAAAUUAGUAAUCACUUACGUUAGGUACAAUAUUUAUGAAUUCAACUAACUUAUUGUAUAACAAACUAAAAACUCUAAUCAUAAUUUAAGAAUCUUUCGCAACCCUUUUAAAUAUAUCUUGAAUAAAUGACAUUAAAUAUUACCGUAGCAUAUAUCAGCCAAAAUCUUCUGACAUUUGCCAAAAUACAGAUUCACGUAUUGUAAGAUUCGUUUUCAAAAAUAAUACUCUCGCCAAUUCUUAUUAUCAUCGCAAAUUCAAACUCUAAGUACCUCUAAUUAAUAAUAGAAAAAUUUGAACUAUUUCAUCGCGCUUACGUAUAAAUCAAGUAUAUAGUGAUAUUAACAAUACAUGAGAUCCAAUAUUGUAUAGCAAUAAAUAAUUUUACUAAUAUAGAGAAAAUUCUAUUAGAAGUGCCACUAUCGAAUGAAUCCUGAAAAACACGUUUCAAAUUUAUUUAGAGUUCUAAUUCAAACUCUAAAUAUCGAGCAAAAAAUUAAAAAAAAAAAAAAACUCACUAGUAAGAUGUAUGACACGCAGUAGAACGUGGGCGGUGGGCACUAUUACUCGGCAGCACAUUAAUUUCGAGUGAGAAUGUAAGGCGCAAGCGAAGCCAAUGAGGCCAAAACAGCUUUGAUUUACACCUUUUAUCAUCAUGCCCAUUCCCCCUCUUGCUGACCAAAAAAUUAAAAAAAGAAAAAACUGUGUGCCCAGGUUUCACAGCUGUGACACGUUUUUUUUUUAAAAAAAAGAUCCUUUGGGUAACAAAAAAUCACUUGUACCCGGGCACUGUCAUGAUCGUGCACUCGACGAAAGAGCUUUACAAGUGACAUUGUCCUUCUUCACUCACGUGAUAUUGCAUGCAGCGGUGAAUAUGUAUCCGGGCCCUGUACACACCGCCUGUCACACCCUGGGAAUUGGUUUCGUCCGAAACAUCGGACCAUACAUUUUGGUACAUCCUAAAGUUAUGUAACCGACUGAUGCAUCAUAUAAAGUGAUGUAUUUAAUCUAUACAUCACGUAAAGUGGUGUAUCCGACUGAUAUAUCACGUAAAGUAGAAAUAUUUUUAUAUUUUUUUCAAAUAAUAAUUUUUUUUUAAAAAUAUAGUAAAAUAAAUUGCAUAUUUAGGUAUUUAUUUCUAAAAACAUCGUAGACUAAAUUUAAUGCUUAGUUAAAUACUGUUAUUAAUGAUAACUACUUAAAAUUACUUAUAUCUUUUUAAAAAUUUCAUAUUCAGUCAAAUAUCGUCACGACCAGAGUAUUUUGUAAAGAAAUGUGAGUGUAUAUUCUUGGGGAUAACGCUAUCCAGCUACAAUGUUCUUUUGCUCCACAAUGAGUGGGUAUAUAUAUAUAUUACACACUCAUUUUCCCUUUUUUAAUUCAUACAGCCGCUGGCUUUGCUUUAAUCACACUCUACCCCUUCUAUUUUGUUCGUUUAUUUUUAUUUGUUUAAUAUUAAUUUUAUCUUUUUUAAUAUUAAUUUUACUAUAUUAUAAUUUAUAAUAAGAAUAAAUUAAAAAUUAUAUAAUAAAUUAUUUAACUUUCGAACUUACGAGUAAAAAUAUACACAAGGAGUCCUAUUUUAUUUUCUGAUUCUGUUUUCUUCUUUUUAUCAGAAAAAAAGAUAUGGUAAUAUCUUUUAUUUAUUUUCGUAUUUAUAACUUUAAAAGGCUUUUAUCGUGGCUUGUUGGCGGCCACAUACAACUAUUUAUGAAUAUUGAACAAGCUAACUGCCUAAAUGUAUGAUCUACAUAAAAAAUAAAUACCAUGUUUAUUGGCCUAUUGUCUAUAUGUCACGAUGCUAAAAUAAAAGUUUUAAAGAAUUCUUCUCAUAUUAUCACAUUUUCCCCACUUCUUUAUUUAGAGAAUCACGUUUCUAUCUUUUGUAUAUUUGUUACAUAUACAUUUCUUGCAAGAGAUUAUCUAAAUCAAGAUUUCUGUUUAAGAAAGCUUAAUGCCCAUAUUCAUAAGUCACGGUUUGAGUCCAGCACACUUCUAGUAGUUAGGUUCGAUUUUAGGCUAAACGAAACAUGCCAAGGGCCUCGAAUAAUGGCUAAAAAGAAAUGUGCUAGGACAUCGAACUAUGACUAAAAGACUCCGAAAAUCCUCAAAAUCACACGCUCUUUAGAGCUUUUGUUUGUUAAUUUGUUUAUGGGCCUUAUGCUUGGGCUGUGGUGUGAACAAUGGGCCCAUUAUAGUUAAGUAGUACAUCUUCAUUGGGGUACUGGAAAUCCAAGUUUGUUCUGAGUCCAUUAUGUAUUUUAUUGUAGUCAAAGCUGGGCUAAAAUUGACCAGGAGCCUUGCAUAUAGUCGAUCUUGAACUUUUGAUCUUUGGUUCUCUUGAAGCCGAAAUUUUAAGUAUAACAAUUUUUAACUUUUGACUUGGAAACAUUACAAAUCAUGAAUAUAAAAAUGUCAGUCAAGACAUUAUAAAUAUUAUAAUAUCAUAUUGUGGCAAUAUGAUGAGUAGCAAUUGGGUGACACAUUGACGUAACUCAAAAUCUUUUAAAUUUUGUCACAUCAAUGUAACAUAUGUUUAUCUUUUAAAAUAAUUGUCAUUUUUUUGUGUUUGCUAUUUUAGAAUUUAACGAAACGUCCUCAGUAUUUAUGAUUAAAUCUUUUAUUUCCUUAUUAUUUCUAUAAAAUCUAACGAAUAUAAAUUAUUAUACACGUGAUAAAGACUAAAAAAGUUAUUUUUUCAGAACUUAAAGGACCAAAACUGUUCAAUCCAAUACAUAAAGGACUAAUGUUAACUUAUCAUAAAACAUGAGGAACCAUUUUUGUAAUUUCUCCCCCAUUUACGUCCGUCCCAGUAGCCGUUUACAGAAUUUGGCUACAGUACCCGCCUCUUAUCACUAAGGCGAAAAAAAAAGAAAAAAGCACCAGUUCAUCUUCUUCACUCCUUAGUUCAAUAGAGAGAAAUUAGCAUCAACAAUGCUCUCUCUGUCGGAUUCACUUCGAAUUUCUUCACCUUUAAGCGAUUCUCGUCUGAGCUUUCUAUCGCAAACUGGAAGCAGAACCAGUUGCCAGUUUAAAUUUGUUCGCAGCCGGCGGGCUCGAGUUUCGAGGUGUAGAUGCUCGGCAACCGAGGGACCGACGCCGAAACGGCGGAAGCAAAUACCGGAGAAGUACAAGCAGUCGGAGGAGGAGAAAGGAAUCGAUCCUGUUGGAUUUCUCAGCAAAUACGGCAUUACUCACAAAGCUUUCGCUCAAUUUCUUCGUGAAAGGUGAUUUUACAUUGCCUUAAAUUGUGUUAUGUACUGUGUAUUGUUAUGCUCUUAAAGAGGGAGAGAGAUGAGAAUUCUAUGAGUAUUCAUAAUUCAAAAUAUCUCUUAUUACAAUUUGAGCUACUUAUACAGUGGUCAUUUGCACUGAAUUUGAUGAAAUAAACUAAAAUGACUAAAAGUUUUGAACAUAAAUUAGCUGCUAUAACUUCACAACUAGAUUCAAUAUGGACUAACAUAUGCCUCCUUCUAGAAAAUGUCCUUGUCCUAAAGGACGGUAACUGUGAGCGAUCAACUGUCGUUAGAGUUUGAAUAGGAAUUCUACACAAUCAGCAAUUAUAAGAGUUUGUAAUAUUUUCCUUAGUUCUUCAUGCAGUAGGAGUUGUUGUACCCUGUGAACAAAUGGACCUUGGCUUUUACUCAGCUCAAAAAGGCCAAAAGCCAGCUUAGCUCAUGAGGGGAGACUUUCAGUAUUGAACUGAGAACAACACCUGUAACUUCACAGAACAGAACUAACAGUAUUAAAUUGAGAAUAACUCCGAUAAUUUCACAACUGAUUUUUGUCAAUAUUCCAACUGUUUCACUCUUCCUAUUUUGCACAUGAUAUAUUUCUAUGAUUUUCUUUUUGACUUUCUGGAAGCCUCGUUAAGAGAAUAUUACUGAGCAGCAACUAUUUUGAGUAUCCUUGGACUGUUCCCCCUGUUUGAUUUUUGAAUCAUUUGAUAUGCAACAUUUUCAGGGUGUUUCAUUCUUUUACCAUUCUGUUUUGCAGAUAUAAAUCAUUGAAGGACUUGAAGGAUGAAAUAUUGACUCGUCAUUUCAGUCUCAAGGAGAUGUCUACUGGGUUAGUUUGUGCGCAAAUUUCUUUUGUCGACACCUGCGUUCCUCUCUCCUCUUUGUCUUUGUGACCGAGUAUCAUUGUGUAACUAUUUGCUAAUAGUAUCAUAUAAUGCAUCUUGAUUAGCUUUGACUGAUUCUAGAUGUCUAUUUUACAGGUAUGAAUUAAUGGGUAUGCAUCGCAACGUGCAACAUCGAGUGGAUUUCUUGGAAUGGGCUCCAGGUUCAAAUCCAUACAUGAUUUUGUCAUCUUAAUAUGUUUUUUUAUAUAUAUCAGAAUUUAUCUUCUAAAUGUGUUUUAGUAUAUCAGAAAUUUAUCUUCUUAAUGUUAAUUUCUUUGUAUAAAUUCACGCUCCAUUAUGAUAUGACCAUUUGGUGCUUAUUUUUAGUGACAUUAGCAAUUGUGCAAAUACUUAAUAUAUAAACUCCAUCAACGUUUCAAACUUCAUCCAUCCACUACAUGACAUUUUGAAAGUGGCUCACUAUUUGGUAUCUUCUGAUUUUUAUUAUCGCCUUAAAAGUUCUCUAUCCAUCCAAUUCACUUAGUUUCACGGUAGGACUAUGGUGAGGUAUCUCUGUGGAAAAAGACUUGAUAAUAUAUUGAUUUUUAAUUCCAACUCUGAGGUUUUAUGCAAGUUAAUGUAACUCUUUGUGUAUCGUAAGUUGUGUGACACAAUUGGAUGGGAUGGAGGAGUGGAUUUAGCACUUGAUGGGCAGCAAUCGUUUCUUUGUUUUUAUUUCCUUUUAUAGUUUUGAAUACAAGUGUCAAUAUGUUGCAACAGGUGCUCGCUACUGUGCUCUGAUUGGUGACUUCAAUGGGUGGUCAACAACUCGUAACUGUGCCAGAGAGGGUCAUUUUGGUCAUGACGAUUAUGGGUAUUGGUUUAUUAUUCUUGAAGAUAAAUUACGUGAAGGAGAAGAACCGGAUAAAUUGUAUUUUCAACAGUACAAUUAUGCGGAUGACUAUGAUAAAGGUGACACGGGUAUUACCAUCGAGGAAAUCUUUAAAAAAGCAAAUGAUGAGUAUUGGGAACCUGGAGAAGAUCGCUUCAUUAAAUCACGUUAUGAGGUGGCAGCAAAGUUAUAUGAGGAAAUGUUCGGACCAAAUGGGUCUCAAACAGAAGAGGAACUAGAAGCAAUGCCUGAUGCAGCUACACGAUACAAAACUUGGAAAGAGCAACAAAAAAUCGAUCCAGCAAGCAAUUUGCCGUCGUAUGAUGUGGUAGAUAGUGGAAAAGAAUAUGAUAUUUAUAAUAUUAUAGGUGAUCCUGAAUCGUUUAAGAAAUUUCGCAUGAAACAGCCUCCUAUUGCUUACUGGUUAGAAACUAAAAAGGGAAGGAAAGGCUGGUUACAGAAAUAUAUGCCUGCCUUACCUCAUGGAAGCAAAUACAGGGUGUAUUUUAACACACCAAAUGGGCCUCUUGAACGAGUUCCUGCAUGGGCCAAUUUUGUCAUUCCAGGUAAACAAGCACUGCUUACUGGGAUUUACAUACUGUUUUACAUCCAUAACUGGUUAAUAUGCUAUUAGAUGAGAUAUAACAAGAAGAAGCAUGGAAGCAUCUAGAAUUAUGAAUAUUUUUCUUUGGUGUAUUCAGUUUGUCUGCCUUAAUGAUCUGUCAGUGACAUUCAUAAAUGUAUGCGUAUUUACAGGCUUUGGAUUUGAUAAUUGCAUUCAGAUAUGACAAGUUACAACACACACGCACACGUAUAAAUAAGUACGUGCUUAUAAUUUUUUGUCAAUGGUGUCUAGGCUAGCUUCCACGCAUAUUCACUAAAACACUGAGUAUGUAUUAUCUCUCAGUCUCUUACCAAUAUAUGUAUUGGUGAACUCUGUCCAGUAAAACUUAGACUGACAAGAAGAAAUCACAAAGUUUUAUUUGUAUCCACUGGGGAUUUGAACGUUGAUUCCCAUAAUUAAUUCCAGUGACAUUGACUGUUAGGCCACACAUUUGGGUGUGCAACAAGCUACAAUAUGUGUUGUGUUUAUUAUGGUUUAUCCAUAACUAGUGCAUGUAUUUUGGCAUGCUUACACCUCUCUUUUUUUUCGAAUUCCUGUUCAUAUACCCCAAUUAAUAAUUUGCUGUUAAGAAAGCUUGAGUAGCGCACGGAGCAUUAAGAUGUUAGAUGUUCGAUCUAACAACCCCUAACCUAGUUGGUGGUAAAUGUUUGUUCAUCAAGUAUCAUUUAGAUUGAAUGGGAAAAGGUAGACCACUUUGACUUGAAGUGGUGGAGUGGUAAGUGGCAUAAAUUCUAGAUGUAUAUAAUUUACCUUAGGUUUGUGAAUAUAUAAACUGAUGCAUCAUAUGAAAUUUUAUCUAGGUGAAAAAAGAAAUUAGUCUUAUCUGUGAAGGGAGGAAGGGGUCAGCAAUCAUUGCAUGAAUAGAGAGAGAGGGAGAGAGGGGGGAGGAAGGGGGGGGGGGGAGAGAGAGAGAGAGAGAGAGAGAUUAAAGUCGAGAAUUGGAAAUAGCGCCACAACUAUGGCCUGAAAGCACAACACGAAUGACAAGCACAUGUUUUCUGUUUUUCCUUCCCCUUCCUACACAACAAACCGUAAUCUGCGUCUGUCUGAAAGUGCAUGAAUCUCGAUUAGAGGCAUGAACUUAAGGAGCUAACUUAAGCUUGGUUGAUAGUCUUUCCGGUAUUAGCUGGUUCCAUGAUCUAGGAAAUCAAUCUAAUCUCUCAUUUGGUCAAAAGCAGUAUGGGGGAGAGGGAGGGGCCUCCAUAAUUGACUUGUGCGUUGUGAUUAGCAUUUUGAGUAGAUAAUUCUAAAUUGAAUCUCCAUGCCCGCUGUAAAAGAGAUGCAGUACACAAUCAUAUCAUUGCUGUUGGUUUCAUUUCUUAUUUCCUUAGCUACUGUAGUCCUUCUCCUGAUGUUGCUGAACUCCUUUACUCAUUUGCAGAUGCAGACGGGAUGCAAGCAUUAGCAGUCCAUUGGGAACCACCUCCUGAAUAUGCUUAUAAAUGGAAAUACAAGCUACCAGUCAAGCCUAAGUCUUUGCGAAUAUAUGAAUGUCAUGUUGGCAUCUCUGGCCAGGAACCAAAAAUUUCCUCUUUCAGUGAUUUUAUUAGCAAGGUGACUACAUUGUACUUUGUCUUACAAUUUGUGUUGACAUCAAAACUUUUUAACUUUCACUCUUCGAAAUCUUGUUAAGUAGAAAUAUGAUUGUCUUCCAGUCUUUGGUUUAGGUUGUUCUAUCUGAACUUGAUCCAUAUCAUUUAAAAAUAAAGGCCUGUUUUAUCAUAAACAUUUCUGUGUUAUGCUGAAAGGUUGUUUUUCUUUUCUGUUAUGUUUUUACAUUUGUAUGGAUAAAGAAUUUUUACCACUUAUCCUUUUUUGUAUUUGCAAGUUGACUUCAUUUAAUAUUUCUUUUGUCAUUCCAGGUCCUUCCUCAUGUAAAAGAAGCUGGAUACAAUGCAAUACAAAUUAUUGGAGUUGUUGAGCACAAGGAUUAUUUCACUGUUGGAUAUAGAGUGAGUUAGAAUUAGUUUCUCCUCAAUUUUCUAUCUCUGAAAGCUACAUAAGAUACAUUCUCAAAAUUGGACUUUUGUGCUUCCUACUGUAAAAAAGUGAGCCAUGUAAUUAGACUUUCACCUUACUUACUUUGGGGUUUAUUACAUGGUCAACAAGGCUUGAACUUGGUGACAGGCGAUAAUGCCCCUGUGUUCAAUUACUAUAUGAAAUAUACCAGAUGCAUAAUAUAAUCUGACCUUUUUUUUUUUAAUCAAUUUUCGAGUCUGGUAAAAUUAACAGAUUGUGAAUUCAUGAUUCCUGCAUGAUCAGAGUGUAAAUUGAACAAUUUUAGUUGACCAAUUGUCCGGUUAUACAUUUGAAAUAUUGCAUCUUCAUUUCCCCCCACUCUUUUUAGAUAUUAGGAUAGCGUAUUGGGCAACUACUUAUAACCUUUUUAUAUAGAUUUGGAACAUGCUCAGCCUUUGUGAUUUAUAGUUUCUUUUUGAUUAGGAUGAUUUAUAGCUUCUUCCUCACCAUCGAUAUGAUUUCACCAUCUUUUUCCUAUACAGGUGACCAACUUUUAUGCUGUUAGUAGCCGUUAUGGCACACCGGAUGACUUCAAGCGCUUGGUUGAUGAAGCACACGGUAAUCCUUGACGUUUGACCUGGGCAAAUAUGGUUUACGUCCUGCUAUGCUGUUAGUGACUACUUAUAUUGCAUAUUAUUUGCUUUCUCUUUCGUUUUAAUUUUCUGAUAACCAUACUCUCUAUGGUUGUGAUAGAGGUGUCAUUUUCUGAUAACUAGCUAUUCUUUAAUAUUAUUCUUUCACAUGGUACAAUCAAUAUCUUCAUGCCGAGCAUGAAUCUUUUUUGCAAAAUCUAAAAUGCUGGUUUCUUUUUACAAAAUAUAAACUUAUGGGUAUGAAAAAAAAUUGAAAUCAUGAUUUUAGAAUCCCAAGUGUUUCUUUUUUUGAGAAUUUGGGAUAUGAAGUCAUGAUUUCAAAUCAUGAUCCCAAAUCGCAUGUCCAAAAAUCAUGACUUAAAUUCGCGUGUCCAAUCACAAGCAAAGCCAGUCCAAGAAAACAUAACUACAGAUUAUGCAGAUCCCUGAUUGUAUCUAAAAUUGCAUGAACAUGUAAACCAGGUUGCACCAAAAAGCAAGCAAAAUAAGACAUCUUUGUUUUAGACUAAUGUAAUUUUCUCCCACGGCCUUCAUAAUUCUAUCAUUUCUUUCAAGCCAAACAGUCCACCAAAUGGCUUGAGGGAUGGUAUUUUAAGUCUUUUGUAUAUUUCUCCAACGGCCUUCACCCCAGCAAUUCGUUCACAUUAACUUUCUGUCAGGUUCAUUUGGAAGCUAUAUUUGCUUAUGCAUUCCAUUUGUAUUCUUGAACUUAGAGGAUGUUAAUUCAUUACUGGAUAAUUCAAUAAACCAAAACAUUUAUGCCGCUGUCUGCAGAUUGCUCAACCUGAAUAAAAAGAACUGAACGAGUUUUAUCCUAUCAAGUCCUUGCAGCUAGUUGCCAUAAGCUAAGGCCUUUCUCUUCUUCUGAACCUACCCACCUUCCAACACUUGCUUCGUUGGAAGCACAAAACAGUGUUUACUUGCCAAGCAAAGCAGGAGCCUUGUGAAGUGUGAACAUAUUUUAUAAUUUUUGGUAAUCACAUGUAUUGACAGAAUAGUCCUGUCAACUAGAGGAUGCUAUCUUGUGAGCCUUAAAAUUAUUCUAAGACAUGUCUCAUUCACAAUUCCAAGAAACAUCUAAAAGCCUUGUUGAUAGCUUUAAAUUCCUUUUUUUAAAGGCAAAUACUGGUGUUUCAGACACAGCAUUCCUUCUCUAAAAAAGAAAACGAAAAAGAAAGAUGCAAGACACAACAUGUCAACUUGGGUUUUUCAAAUUAAGAAAAGAUUUUUCAAGACCCUCUCCAGUCUCCAGGUUAUGCCUCUUCUUGCCUUUAACCUGUGAGUGCUUGUAAUAAUUAUAGACAUUGUCAUAUUACAUUUAUGAACAUUUUGGAUAGCUUUGUGAUACAAUUCCUUGUUAUGAUUUCUCUUUACCCGUAUUGGUUUUACUAACCGUGUUCUGUUUUGUAGGGCUUGGACUACUUGUCUUUUUGGAGAUUGUGCACUCUUAUGCAGCAGCAGAUGAAAUGGUUGGCUUAUCUCUUUUUGAUGGAACAAAUGAUUGCUAUUUCCACACCGGUAUAGUCUUCAAGAGAGUGUUUAGAAGCACUUCACUCCCUGAUUAAUUUUCAUUUGUUACAUUACAAAAUCACACUGUGUUCCCUGAUGCAUGUGUCAUUUGUGACUUAUAGUUCUGGGAUUCGCCAACCAAUUUGCUUACAUUGCUGUUAUACUAGUAUCUAACUUGGAACUACUAGUAUUACACAACAAAAAUGACUGCUGGCUCGGCCUACACCUGCUACACGUGCUUAUGUUUGUUUGUCAAUUUACCUUAAUAAUAGAGUAAAUUAUUGUCAUAUACAAAAUGUAUAAGCACAAAUGAGAGGUAGUGGAAUAUUCCAUGAAAGGUUAACCUUGUUCCUUUUCUAAUUUGUUUUCCUCAUUUACCGUUUCUAUAUUUAUGCAAAAUACUCUAUAUGUUUAUGCAAACAACAAGUAUUUCUAUUGUACAUGGCCAUAAAAAUAUAAACUUCAUAUCAAGCUUGGUCAGGAGAGAACAUAACAAGAGAGGAUUGUCAGGUUUGGGGAGAAUUCUAACUUGAAGCAAGUCAGACACCAUUUUCACUGUUAUUGUACUAGUAAAUCUAAUAUACUAUUUUUGUUGCAUUUUUUCUAUGUUGAUGGAAGUUCUAAUUAGGUGGAGUUCUCUUCAGUAACUUGGUAAAAGAACUGUAUCUGAUUUAAUGUUUUCAGUACUUCUAUAUCAUAUGAUUUCCUUUUGGAUCCUGAGUUCUGUAUUUACCGCAUAACAAGGUAAACGUGGACACCACAAAUUCUGGGGCACACGGAUGUUCAAAUAUGGAGAUCUUGAUGUCCUGCACUUUCUUCUUUCAAAUCUGAACUGGUGAGUUUAUUGUUAUAUGGUUUCCAUCCUAUGCAUGCUAUUCUCUCAGUUUCAUUGCUAGUUUUAAGUUUUGUUAGAAGUCGAAGGUUUGGCACCUGAUAAAUGUUGCUGGUUGUGCAAUAAAUGCACCACCAUCGUUUAAUUAUUAAGUUCAUGCUAUAUUUUAUUGUACUUUACACCUAUAUGUAGGUUUAUGUUGUAGUUCAUUUGUAUCAAGUGGGAAAUACAAAAUAAGUCCUCCCUCAAUUUCACAAUGUAUCAGAGUAGAUUCACUCUUGGUAAAAUUCUAAAUUGCUUCUGCUCACUGGCAUGCGUCCUCUUGCCUCUUUCCCAGAUGAAGCCCAUUUUUAUUUAUCAAAGUGAAAUUGUAGACACUUGUCCUCUCCAUCCCUUUCACAUGUUCUGUUCAAUGAUCCUCAUUCGUGUCACAUUAAGCUAGAACAGGAACCACUCCUCUCAAAGAAGCUCCAUUGUCCCCCAGCCCCCCGGUAGAAAAGAAAAAGAAGAAAGAAAAUUUUGCUUUAAGUAAGCAGAGAUGAGAGAUUUGGCACCUUGUGAAGAAAAUUUGUAAGCUGAGAAUUCAUCUACCAACCUAGUGGAUGUGAACCUGUUUGUCAACAGUAAGUCUGUUAGAGUGUCAUCGCCUUUUUGAUGUUUUUUUCUUGAGAUGGCAACAACUUGUAUUAAAAUUAAAAGAGACUGUGAAGCCAUAAUUACAGAGUGUGAACUAACAGUAAGCUAGGCAAAAAUUAUAUUGCACUACAGAGGCUCUAAAACUUGCAUUAGGGCCUCAGUGUCACCUAUGUACGUUUGUUUACACCAAAAAUUAAAAAGCACAAUACAAUUUAGCUUUAUCUUCUGGAUUGAGUCUCUCUUUCCUGCAAAACAUCUAAGAUUUCUUUCCCUCCAGAUUGUCCACCAUAUGCAGCCUGGGAUCAUAUUCCAUCUUUUUUUUUAGCUUUUGUGCUUCACCUUCUGUUCCAGCUGGAAAGCAUGUCAAGGUCAUUGACACUGACCAGCUCAAACCAAUCAUAGCAAGGAAGACGUCCCAAAGUUGUGUAUACUUUCCAAAUGAGUGGCAAAUAAAGCAAAGCUGUAUUCCCCUUCAGUAGCCUGUCCUGUGUCAAACAAGCUUUCUCGACUACCAGCCAAACAAAUCAAGCCACCUUUUAUGUGAUCUCAGCUCUCCAAAAGUGCUUCCAAGGCCAUAAGAAGGUCAGCUUGUUAUCAAGGUUCAAACUGUGAUAAGCUGUUUUGACUGAAAAAAUGCCUGUGUUAUCCACCCCAACCUGUCUUGAGGUUGAGAAGUUCCAAUGAGCUGAUUGAUGAUGUUUAGGAACUCAGCAAAUCUGUCCAAAUCUUAGCCUAUAACUUAAACUCCAUACCUGAUUGCUCGAAGCCCUGCCUCGAAAAAGUCAGGACUUUUGGGCAGAUUCCAGUAUCCGACCCAUCUCUUUCUGCCGAUUCCCCGGGUUGUCGGAAUCUCUUACCUUUUUUUCCAGGCCUGUUCGGACAUACGCUUCCCGCGGGGCAUUGAGAAGGAAGGACGCUUUCAGAGGCGAAAGGCCAUGGGGAGAUACCGUCUGUGAUCCAUGGAUCUCCGAUCGGGAAACCGUAUCCAAGCUCCGUGGCUAGUCUGCGCUCUUUUCAGUAAUGCCAGCCCUUUGUUGCUGGUUUAGAGAAAAGAUAUCAGGGUAUGAGCUUGAGAGGGCCAUUACUAGCCAAUUGGCAGUUGGCAGUAUGUAUGUUUUCUUCUUAGUCAAGUCUCAUAGAUCCACGUUCACACGGUUGAUGCAUCAGCGUGAGCGAUUUCUGUAUGAGAACAAACAUCUUUUUGAAACGAAAUGCUCUCACCUAACAGACAUGAUCGUGCAAGAAACUAUUUUCUUAACAUGUUGCUUAUACAAUGGUAUUUUUCAGGUGGGUGGAGGAGUAUCAUGUCGAUGGCUUCCAUUUUCAUUCGCUCUCGUCCAUGUUGUAUACGCAUAGUGGAUUUGCUUCAUUUACUGGUGACAUGGAUGAGUAAGCAUCAAAAGUACACUUGUGUCAUGUUAAUUGUUCAUGCGUUAUUUACUUAUUAAAAAUGUUUACACAUUGUUCACCAAUGAUACAUAUUUAAGAUUCACAUAUUUGCAGUCUUUUAACUGGAUUUUGGUAUCUAUCUUGAUUAGGAAGUGCUAGAGAUUGUAAUGUGGAUUAAAAAACAAAGCUAGAAGGACCUCAAAUUUGAAAACUAUGUGACUAGAAUGUAUGUUAAACAUUGGAAAAUUAUGAGCAUCUAUCUUUCUGUUGGUUGGUCUUUCUUCGACAAUCUAAAACUUUUGUUGUUGCAGAUACUGUAACCAAUAUGUUGACAAGGAGGCCUUAUUGUACCUCAUAUUAGCAAAUGAAGUACUACAUGCUCUUCAUCCUAAUGUGAUCACGAUUGCUGAGGAUGUAAGUGAACUAUUUCAAUUCUCUUGAAUUGUUCAUCGCUUUCCUUGGAUGCUUUCGAGGAAGUACAAAUCCUUUUUAUUGAACUUAGUUCUGCUGAGUAUACCUUAUGAUACUUUAAGAUAUCUUUCGAAAAUAGGAUUUCUUCUUCUUGUGCAAGUUUAUUUCUCAGUCUUGUACUACUAUAUAUGUCAGAUUUCCUUUCUAUUCACAUGCACCUUGUAGUUUGAGACCUUUGGGUUACUUUUGGUUGGACUUUGGAGUAAUGGAGAAAUAAUCUCCACAUAAAACUCAACAUUGUUUUGAUACAAUGUUAUGUUUGAUUUUUUUGUUCCACGUAAAACUUAGCAUAAUCUGUUACAUGUUUGGUUUCAAAUUUUCCUUUGUGCAUAACUAAUACUCACAUAAGUUGUGUGCAAUCUAUACAUUAUUUUAUAUAUAUGUGGGAUAGAAUGUGGAAUAAGAAUGCAGUGGUUAGUAAUACAUGGAUUAGAACAAAAUGAAAAGAAUAAACCUUCAUGCAGUAACUAAUAUUUUUUAUUUUAAAAAAUAAAAAACAUAUUUUAAAAAAUAUAUUAUAUAAUAAAUUUUAAUACAACAAUCAAAUAUCCAAUAGCAUGUAAUCGUUAAAUUACAAUCUUUUCAUUAUUAAUCCUUGAAUUACAUUCUGUGUAUCACUAAUCCUGCAUUACAAACCCUACAUUUCUAAUUUCUGCAGACCCCCAACUGUCAUUUGAUUAAGAUUUCUUUCUGUUACAUAGGCAACUCUGUAUCCUGGACUCUGCGAUCCAACUUCUCAAGGUGGACUGGGCUUUGAUUAUUUUACCAAUCUUUCUGCCUCAGAGAUGUGGCUUGCAUUACUUGAAAAUACUCCUGAUCAUGAAUGGUGCAUGAGUAAGGUUGAACCUUGCGUCAUUGGCUUACAGGAUUUUUCUCCUUUUGAACAUCUAAUGCUAUGGUAGUUGGUGGUAUUUAUAUGGUUGACUUAUUUCAGAUUGUUAGCACAUUAGUGGGCGACAGACAAAAUACUGAUAAAAUGCUUUUGUAUGCAGAAAAUCACAACCAGGUAGCUACACUUUUUUUAUUGUCGUGUAUUUAUGAGUUUCCUUCCCUUUCCUUUCCUUGUCUUUCAUAUUGUAAAGGUCUGAUUUGACAAUCUUACAUUAUUUGACUGGUUGUAAUUCUCCCUUCUCUUUUAGUCCAUUUCUGGAGGUCGUUCCUUCGCAGAAAUACUGAUUGGUAACUCUUUGGGGAAAUCUUCCAUAUCACAAGAGUCAUUGCUUAGAGGCUGCUCAUUACACAAGGUAAUUUCUUUACUUGUGCUUUACACUUUACACUUCAUGUAGAAGGUGAAUAUCUGGUACUACCUAGAGACUGUUGUUACACAAGGGAAACUACUUGACAUUUCUUGGUUGAUCAGGUCUGAAUCUUAUGAACAGCCACCCUUCCCUCGUCUCUUCAAUAUAUUGGCUCCCUCUAUUUUGGUAAUCACUGGACCAUGCUAAAGCAGGAUGCUUUGAGCAGCAGACUGCCUUUUUUCCCCAUGUUUACCUCUUAUUUGAGGUCAAAUUAACCUCUGUACGGUUGUCGUCGUUCUUGAUGUUGCAGUCAAUAAGUAGGGGCAUUCAGGUGAAACUUGUAUGUGCUUCAAGAAGGAACUAGCCUUUAAAUAUUUUCUUCUUCUGGGGAAAUGGUUCAGCUGAUGAAUCUGCUUGCAUUGAUUUUCUGGUUAAUAGAUUAUUCCUUCAGAUAAAUUCCUUACACAAGGGAAUGAAUUUGUCUUAAGGAUCCACCAGUCUAUUUCCCUCUUUUCAGUAGAAUUUUAGAUCAGUUACCUGCUUGUUCUGUGAUAUUCCCAUGCAUUUGGGUUUGUCUACUUAUGGUUGGAUCUUCUUGUAUUAAAUAGAUGAUCAGAUUAAUUACAUCUACAAUUGGUGGUCAUGCAUACCUAAACUUCAUGGGCAAUGAAUUUGGGCACCCAAAGGUGAGUAGUUGCUUUCUGCAUAUAUGAUUUGUGGACGUUUACAACUAUACUACAGUAGAUUUAAUACCAAAUGACCUCUUUUCUGCAACAGAGAGUAGAGUUUCCAAUGUCAAGCAACAAUUUCUCCUUUUCACUGGCUAACCGUCGCUGGGAUCUAUUGGAAGAUGAUGUACAUUAUCGAUUGUUCUCAUUUGAUAAGGUGACCUCCGAACUUCUAAUUAUGUAAAAUGCGCUCUGCUGCCUCUCUUUAAAUAUACUUGUAUAUAUACACACACGUGUGUGUGUGUAGAAUCUCCUUAUACGACUGUUGUAUAUUUGUUCCAUUUUCAUACAUCAUUGUUGAUUUUCUAUUAAUCCUGAUAAUGUCUUUCUGAUACUGUGUGGUGAUAGUACACCAUACGAGCAAUGCAAGGUAGGCCUAGUUGUUGUGCACUAGUAAAUGACCGUCACUAAAUUGAUCUGCCCUUUGAGUGUACUUUUUUUUUUUUUUUAUAUAUAUUAUGCUUGAUAUUAGAUGUUGCUUUUACUCCUUUUUUUCCAUCAAGGAGUAAAGAUCGUUUGGCUUCCACACAUCACAUCAACCCUCUUUUGAUAUAUUCUGGGUACCCGUUCUGAUAUUCUGUGCUGAAAAAAACAGUGUAGUCUUUAGUAGAUAUUUUGUUGGAAACCACAUAUUGCUUGCUUCCCUUAUUUCCCAUCAAGGGGUAUAUAUAGUUAGGCUUCCACAUGCCAUAGCAACCUUUUCUGAUAUUAUGUGGAAACAAUAUACUGUAUGGUCAAUAAAGGUAGCUCACAUAGUUAUGCUUUAAUAAAUGAGGUUCAUGUGCUAUCCUGUCUUUAUUGUUUUAUUUCAUACUUGAAUGGUAUUUACCACCUCUUCGUAACCAUUAUUUUUUUCUUUUUAGUUGGUUGAUGAGAUAGCUUGUGUUUAAUUUAGUCAUAGGCAUAUGUUAUGCUUCUCUUUCUUUCGCUAUGCUGUAAAUUGGAAUAGUAGUUCUGCAACCAAAGGGAAAAAGAAAGAAGAGAGUUGUGACUUCUUUUUCGUUUUCAGGAUAUGAUGGACUUGGAUAAAAAUGGGAGAAUUCUGUCCAGAGGUCUUGCCAACAUUCACCAUGUCAAUGAUACUACCAUGGUACAAACGCCUUCUCUCUUUUAUUUGAUAUUGGGGUUAGUUGUCUGUGACCCUUUGGGGGGGGGGGGGACAUCAUAACAGUUGCUUGCUUGUGUGCUAACAUUAUCAAUAUAGCUAGUUUCUAUGGCAAACAUUUAUUUCUUGAAUAUAAAGAGUGAAAUUAUUUUUGGAACAGGUGAUAUCUUACUUGAGAGGUCCCAAUCUCUUUGUGUUCAACUUUCAUCCUGUCAAUUCAUAUGAAAGAUACAUUAUAGGUGUUGAAGAAGCUGGAGAGUAUCAAGUAAGUCUCAUUUUAUCCUUUUCUUGCUGAAUGCCUGUCUAAAGUUCUUCUAUAUUUAUCUCUCACUCCCACAUAAACAUGCGGUGAAGUGUGUAAAAAGGAUCAUCAACUUGGAAUGUGUAUGCAAGUUGAAAAGAUUUAUGUAGCUAUUGUUUCUAUCCCUACUUCUAGCCUGCCUCUGUAGUAAAUUAACAGAAUAACCCUAAAUUCGAUCUCUCUCUCAGUCCCGCAUGAACAUGAAGAAGAGUAUUACUCCGUCCAUUUCAAUUUCUGUAAAACAUAUUUAACUAGGCACAGAUUCGAGAAAGAAAGGAGUAUGACUCUUGGAACUUAUAGUCUUAUAACAUGCCAUUAUGCUAUAACAUUUGAAACUUGUGGUCCUAAGAUGCUAUAUCAAUUAUGAGAAGCACAGUUGGCAUAUUAUUGUUUACAUAACCUAUGUAUUUUCUCAAGUCUCUAGCUAUUGAAAUUUCAGAGAAUAGUACAUCUAUCGAGGAACACAAUCAGCGUAUCAUUUUAGUACUUGAUCUAUGGAUUUUAUAACUUUACUGGCUAUUUCUUACGCUAUUGUUUGGUCAACUUUUAUAGGUCACAUUAAAUACAGAUGAAAAGAAGUAUGGUGGUAGAGCACUACUUGGCCACGAUCAGAAUAUUCAAAGAACCAUUAGUAGAAGGUAACCAAUCGCUUGCUUUCCUUUUUCACUUGUUUUUACAUGACUCAUAAUUAGUCGCUUACUUUAAGUCCUCUACUUCUUCUAGGAAGAUGAAUUCCAAUGUUCUUUUUUACAUGAUAUCUGUAUUAAACAUCUAUAUAAUUCAUGUCUUAACAUUUCCAUUUCAGAGCUGAUGGAAUGAGAUUUUGCUUGGAAGUGCCUCUGCCAAGUAGAAGUGCUCAGGUUUGAUUUUUUUAAAUUCAUUUAUCAUCUGCCCAUGACCGACGAAUGCUUGAUUAAUUGGUUCAACUCAUGCAGGUCUACAAGUUGACCCGAAUUCUAAGAGCAUGAUCACUCUAGUAAUCAAAGUGCCUCAUAUGAUGGACACAAAAGGAAAGGUACGUUCACACUAUGUGUCAGUGUGACUCGGAUACAAAACAUGCAUUGAAGCACCUUUGUGCUCAUCUAUUAAGCUUUUAUAGCUUAUUUAGGCUGUUUUCUAAUCUUUAAUAGGUUCUACAUUGCCCUAUACUGAUCAAUAUUGUGGCCUUUUUGAGGUGAGUUUCUGUGAUUCUUGAGCACAGGCUUUUGGCUAGUCAGUUAUCAUGAACUUUUGCCUUCAGCAUCCGGAUACUCUCUUCUCCUGAGCAAUGACACUUCGACGAGAAAAAAAACUGGCUUGUCAUGGGGGUCAAAAGCAUCUGCCAGAUUAAGAUUUCAAGCCUCAAGGAAAACUAUCACCGCUUUAGGAUACACACAUUGACGAGUAAGCUCUGAUACCUUUAAAGUUGCCAGUGUAUAUAAGAGCAUUCAAAUUGAUGAGAACUUCAAUUUUGCAUUGGAUAUUGAGUCAUGUUUUGUAAACAUUGUGGCCUGUGGGUAUGAAGUUAUCGGUUCAAGAUAUACAAACGCCUCUAAGAGAAGGGCUUACUUCCUGAGUUUUACAUCGGAAUCAAAAGAUUUUCAUGCAACAUUCUCAUAUAUUAUUGUAUAUUGUAACCAUUUCUAAUUAUGUCCAAUCUUGUAUAAUCACACAUUUAUCUUGUAGAUGUGUUUGUCCUUUAACAGUCAACUCUUGUAUACCAUUGCUGGGAUCUCAGACAGUUUUAUUUAAUUUUGCAUGUUACGUCUUCAUAUAUUGUCAUAUAUUUAGAAUAUUAAGGCUAAAUACUUGCAUUGUUUGCUUUUAGGUACCCAUAAUGCUAUCUAAUUUCACUCCACUUUUAUUAUUGGAGCUGAAUUUGCAGUCCAUAUAAAAAUUUAAACUAGUAUUGUGUAUUAACUUAUGAUAUAUAAUAUUUGUUACUAUCAUUUUCUUUCGAUAGAAAUCAAUAGCUUUAGCUCAUAUCAUGUAUGUUGUUAUGUACAUUUAUAAGCUGUGAACUUAAUAACAUAAAUGCUUUAACGAUUCAGUGGCAAGCAAAGAAUUGCUAGAACUUAUAAAUUUCAAAUCUCAAUUUUCUUUAUAAAUAUUUCUUAUAUUGUUGGGGCAUACAAUUAAAGCUCUUCUACAAAAGAAUGCUAAGAGUGGUUGACUGGCUUUUAGUAUCAAUAAGAGUCGUACAAACAAUAGACAUAUAUGAAAAAAGGGCAUAUAAAAAAUAGAGAUAAGGAGACGAUCGAGCUGAGUAAGCACUGACUUCGUUAAAGAUAGAUUGUGGUGAAAUGAUUGAGAUUACUCUAUUCUUAAUCAGAGAUUUCGAAUUUGAGAGGAAAUGUAAAAUAUUUUGUUGGAAGUAUUGCCCUUAGAAAUGAGUCUUGCAAUACAUGAACCCAAAUUUAAUCGAGCUUACAUAUGAAUAGAUAGGUAGGGUUUUUUAUUUUUAAAAAAAUAACAUUCCUUCAUAGACCAAAAUCGACAAAAAGAAUUUGAAGUUUUUUUUAAAGAGAAAAAACAAUAUUAUCACUCUUUUGUAUGGUCACCACACAUAUAAAUAUAGCAACAAGGAAAAAGUGCUUCAACUUUUUACUUACCACGACAAAAAUAAUAUUUGUGAAGGAACUAAUUAAUACAAAUGGACAACGUAAAGAUAAUAUUAUUUUGGAGGCGAAUUUAAAUUUUAAAAUUUAUGUUUUUUUUAUAAUUAUCUCAAAAUAAUAUAGUGACAAUUAGGUUCAUAAUCAUCAAUAUUUAUAAAUAUUUAGUGAAUUCUUUACUAUAUAUAUAAGCCACGUAACAAAAAUUUAUGAUCUAGAACCUCUACAUUACAGGUUAUUUGCUAUACAUUUAUGAAGAAUUACAUACUAUUAUUUUAUAAUUAAUCUAAUAAUAUGAUUUACUUUUUUAGAUAAUUUAUUGGGAAAUAUAAUAUUGUGAUUAGGAGCGUAGUCAGAAUUUUGCCACCGUUUUGCUUGAAUGUUAUAGUGUGUCAAGAAAUCACUUACUAAUGCAAAUAAAUAUAAGUCCAAAGUACUAAAUUCCAAUAUUAAUAAGUACAAAUAGAUCCUUAACAAAGCUAACGAUGUUAUGUUGCUAUCAUCACAGAAUAAAACACAAAUACUAGUUGCUCAUAAAGUUUGAGAAUUCAAUAGAAAGCUUGUUAUGGGGAUAGAUCGAAAAAAGAUAUAAAUAUAUUAUUAGCCAGCAUAUCUUCUUGCUAUUCCCAAUACGAAGAUCGAUAAUUUUCUUUCCUUCUAUUCAUCAUAUAUUUGGCUUUGAUCAUGUUCGAUACAAGUCAGAAAAUAGUUAAACCUCCUUAACUAUAGAAUGCAUAGAGCUCACUAAUUGAGAUUUCAUUAUCUCAAAAAAAAAAAUUGCAUAUUUUUUCCUUUUACUAAGGAUAAUAUUCUGAAAAGUAUAUUUUUUUUAGAAUAAAGUUAAGCAUAUUUUCCUUUUACUAUUGUGGAAUAUCGAAUAAAGUAUUAAAAGGUAUGAAGAAUAAGUUUACCUUUCAAAAAUGUCAAUUCAAUUUUGAGAACAGUUAUAUAACUCAAUUGACCCAUAACAUAUAUUGUACCAUGCUUUGGAGGAAGCAGAAUUACAAAGUAAAAGUUUGAUUUUGAAAUAAAUAAGAUUUUUCGACUCUUUAAGUAAAGAUUUCAUAUUUAAAUUCUUCUUAACUAAUUAUACACAAUAUAAUUUAAAUUAAUCGGAUCAAAAAAUCUUGUAACCAAUUAAUUAGACAAAAAAAAGCAGGUUUAACUCAUAAAAUGUGCAAAAAACAUACAUGACUACAUAUAUAAUAUGCUAGGUACUCCCCAAAAUUACGAUAUACAAUUAAAAAAAAAAACAUUAAUUACAAACUAAUUCUUAAAUUCUAAAUCCAAAACUUUUUCUUUUAUAUAAAUGUACAAUGUACCAAUACAAUAUUGCUGCUUCGAAAACUUCUAUUUUUGAUUGAUAAAUUAAAUACAAUCGUGUUACCUUAAAAAAAUAGAAAUGAGAGUCUGCAUACAUCCUUCCUCCUGAGGCUUAGAUCUUAUCAGUGAAACUACAUAAUUCUAUUGAUGAGAUUGUAAACAUUUUAUCAGGCUCAAAUUCUACUUAGGAUAUUACGAGAACAUUUAAACUUUCUCAUACCGAUUAAUCUAAUUAUUUCUCCUCUAGAUUAAACACAAAUCUCACUCUUUUCAAUGAUUCAAAUGAUGCUUCUCUUUGCAUUUUCAAUUGAUUGUAAAAAUUACCAAUAAAUAUCUCAGCUUUAUUAAACAACUCCUCCCCACUAAUCUCCUCUUCCUCCCCCUCCUCCUCUUUUGCUUCACUUCUAUCCUCACCACUCCCAAUAAAAAACAAACUUGGUGUGGAAGGACAUUUUUGUAAUUUCACUUCAUCCUUCACAACUAAUUUUGUGACCCCAACAAUUCUCUCACAAACACAUUUUUCAACCAAUUUAGGAGCAAUUUUUUGUUGUUGAGGAGAAAGAGAAGGAGGACUAUUUUUGUCAUCAUAAUUUUGAGAUUUUGAGAAAAAGGUAAUUAGGCCAGCAUCAACUCCUAAUGAGAUAAUUAGAAGAUUAACUAUGAAAUAAAGAUAAGGAGUUCUUUGAGAUGAAGAUAUUAGAGGAGUAAUUAGCACAAGUAUAGCUAUAAGUAAAAGCUUUAAAAUUUGGGAUUUCAUAAUCUUGUCCAUGUAGAAUGGAAAAAAUUAUUGAUAAUUUUGAGAAAUGAAAAGUGUUUUAUGAUUAAAAAAAAAUUAUUUCUAGUGAGAUUCAAACACGUGAACACCUUAAUACCGACUCUCUUGGUGAUGGUGUUGGAAGGAUAUUGGAGAUGGCUUUGAUAUUAUAUAGAGGUUGACAUACAAGGGGUAAUAUUAAUGUAGGGGCCUGGCCAACUUCAUAUUUAUAACAAACAAAAAAUAAUGAGUGAAAAAGGGUAUUAUAGGUAUUGUCUUUAUCAUAUUUAGAGUCUUAUCAAGUAGGUGUUUGAAACAUGUAUAUAGUUAGGUGAUAUUUAGUUCUAGUAUUUAAAAUCAUGUUUGGGCUUACAUUUAUACUACCUCCGUCUACUAUUAAUUGUUAUAUUUUUUAUUUAUAGAAUUAAAUUAUAAAAAUUUUGACGAACAUUGUAUAGUAUUUUUCGUAUAACUUUUGAAUAUUUAAAACUUUUUGAUUUAUAAUAUCGAAUUAAUGUAAUAUAAUUUAACUUUAAAAAUUAAUCAAAUUAAUUUUCGAAAAACUUAAUAUAAUAAAUAAAAACAAACGGAUGGAAUUGCUUUAGUAUGAGUUUUUCUCGAGUCGAUCAAAGUUUAUGUAAAACAAAAUCUAUGUACACUAUAUGCUUUAAUAUGUUUUCUUGAGUCAAUUAAGGAUUAUCAAAAAUAUUUUCUUUAGCUGUCAAGAUAGAAUUAAAAUUUACAUAUACUAUAUACUUUAAUAUGUUCCUUUUUUUAAUCAAUCAAAAUUUUAUAACAAAUAAUUUUUUUACCCGUCAAGAUAAUGAUAAAAUCUGCGUACGGACGUUUUAUGAGAGACAAGAGAACAUGCAAGAAAGGCAAAAAAAGAAACACAAGUCAAUUAAAAGGUGAAAAAGAAAAUAUUUCAAUUCUAAUUGGACAACUAUUGAUAAGGCAAUAUUCCCUCUCUUUUUAGGAGAAAAAGGUAAUGCGGUAGUUUCUUGCUUUUAUUUUUGGAAUAAUGCCCAACUACCCCUCAACCUAUGUCCGAAAUCUCAGAGACACACUUAUACUAUAUUAAGGUCCUCUUACCCCUCUGAACUUAUUUUAUUAAUAAUUUUUUACCCCUUUUUAGCUUACGUGGCACUAUCUUGUGGGCCCAGCGAUGGUUGACUUUUUUUUCGAACUAGUGCCACGUAGGAUAAAAAGGGGUAGAAAAUUACAUAUAAAAUAAGUUUAGGGGGUAAUAGGACCUUAGUAUAAUAUAAGUGUGUCUCUGGAAUUUCGGGCAUAGAUCGAGGGGGUACUUGGGUAUUUUUCCUUUAUUUUUUGUCCUUUUAUUUAGGUUAAGUAAUUAUCUUAAUCAAAGUUAUGAAAAUAUAAUAAAUUAAUAAUCAUAAAUAUCAAAAAAUUAAAAUGAUGAAUAUCAAAUCAAACUAAUUUUUUAGUAUUUUAAUUUUUCGGUUUCAAUUUGAAUUUUGAUAUAUGUUUUUGCAUUUUCAAUAUUGCGAUUUGAUUUUUAAUAUGUAUAUUUUCUUUUAUAGUACUUUAGUUUUUCGAUUUUUUGAGAUAUAUUUUGCAUUUUCAAUAUUUCAAAUUGAUUUUUAAUAUGUGUAUUUCUUUUAUAGUGUUUCAGUUUUUCGAUUUUAAUUCUAUUUUUUGAGAUAUAUCUUUGCAGUUUCAGUAUUUUGAUUAGAUUUUUCGUAUUUUUUGGUAUUUCCAUUUUAACUUAAAUAUAUUAAAUUAUAAUGUAUAUGAGUAUUAUAUUAAUUAUUACUAAAUAUUAAAUAGGAGUAACAAAUCUUAUAGGCAAACAAAAUACAAAAUUAGGUCACCGCUGUCCACUUUUCAGCAAUUAGUAGUGCACCGCAGCACUUCCCGCCGACCGCCGCGACCAGCAGCAGCCAGCUAGCGGCAGCGACCAGUCUAGAUACGGUAUUUAAUUUUUCUUUUUUGUUUUUUUUUUGAUUUUUUUUUCUUUCUGAUUUGUGUUAAUUGUGAAUUAUAAAAAAAAAUUCAUCAUAAACAAUUUCAUUGUGUUUAGUGAGCAUAGCUGAUAUUGAACUUUACAAAUAAAUUUGUAUAUUUUGGUUCUGCAAAUUUAUUCUGAAUUUGUGUCCGCACUGCUUCGUUUUGCGAGAAAAAUAUACUUACACUUGGUUGUAUUUUAAGAGGAAUAUAAUGUUUGAAUAGAUUGUAUUGUUAUGCGUAAAUUUCAACUAGGUAUGGUGCACAAUUACUAUGAAAAAGGUAGAGUAAAUAAUAAAAUUGAAUUAUUGAAUAAUAAAGUUUAAAAAAAUAUUAAGGUAGCAAUACGAUUACGUGAAUAGAAUUUUGAGAGACAUAAAUGUUGUAUUUAAACUAACAAUACAAUGAGUAACAACCAUCCAAACUAGGUGUUAAUGUGGCCGGAAUCAUCGCGUAACGAGAUCCUCCCCUAUAAUCUCUCUCCAAGCUCUCUUAUAAAUGAAGGAUUAUAAUGUGAGAAAACUUCGAUUUUCAGCUCAAUUCCUUUUAAAGGUCUAAACUUUUUAUAUCUUAAGGACUUAACUAAACUGAUUUUUUAAUGACUUUAACUUCUAAUUAAGAUCAUAACAAAGUUCACAAUAUGAUUAUGAUGACUUCUUAAUUUGUUUUAUUGUAGAAGUAUGCUAUUCUAACAAACACCAGUAGUUAAAAGUUGAGUAGGUAGCGAUUUGUUUUGAAUGAAGCUUCAUGCUUUUAUUAAGUUUUGAAUGUUGAUUUAUAAAAAAGAUAGAAAAAAGAAUGCUAUAUACAUUGUACAUUUUGUGUUUUAAUCCAAGCGUUGUGUAUCCUUAUAUCGAGUUUGUAUACAACCAAGGAAACAACCAUUGUCGUGUAUCUUUGGCUAGCACAACUCCAUUCUCUCUUAUUUCUGUGGUCUAUUUUGUAACGAGUAGUAUGACUCGGAGAGCCUGGAAAGAAGUCAAUUGAAAUGUAUUCACAUAUAGAGCUUGUUGAGAAAGAAAGUAUCUUUUUUCUCUUGUGUGGACGUCUGAUUUAUUUUUUUCGGUUGAACGUUGCCAAAACCUAUUCUUUUGGUUAAAUAUUGAGGGUGUUAUUGAUUUGCUUAUUUGGUUUUCUGCUUCUGAUACUAUUCUAAUGUAUGUAGUGAUUUAGUGGUAUUUGCUAAGUUAGCCUUUGACAUCUCUUUGCUGUUGCUAUUCCUUUUUUAAUUUGCUCGGAAAGUAAUGCUUUUCUUUUUCAAUCGAAACAGUAUAUCUUGCUAGAAAAAUUUGGCCAUUCAACCAAAAUAUAUUGGAUUGAAUUAUUAGUUUGUGUUAUAAUUGGAAGGGUUUUGUGUUGAGUCUUGCCAAGUUUUGAUCCCAUUACCUUGUGUCAAGUAGUAGUUAACAACUAACGUCUCACCGUUUCAGGUUUUCUUCUCCAAACAAUCUUUGGUUAAGCAUCGAUGAGUUCUCAGGCCGUUACUUCAAGUGAGGACAUUUUUGACUCAUCGUUGAAUCUAGAGGACAUUCAUUACAAAGAAGGCUACUCGGUAGGCUAUACGGAUGGCCUAAAUUCUGGUAAAGAUGAAGGCAAACAGGUAGGACUCAAAAAGGGUUUUGAAGUAGGCGAAGAAUUGGGUUUUUACAAAGGUUGUAUUGAUGUAUGGAAUGCUGCUAUCUUAGUAGAGCCAACCUGUUUCUCAUCUCGAGUGCAGAAAAGCAUCAAACAGAUGGAUGAAUUGCUCAAUAAGUACCCCUUCUCUGACCCAGAGAACGAGUCUGCUACCGAUAUUAUCGACUCCCUGAGACUGAAAUUUAGAGCUAUUUGUGCAACUCUGAAUAUUAAACCAGAGUAUGAUGGGUACCCCAAAGCCUCUGGGAUCGAUAACUCCGGUUUCUGAUUGGUCUAAAUUAGUCACUUCCUUUGUAGACAUAUAAAUUUGCAUCAAGUUGGUAAAAGAACUGUCAUUACAUAUAUAUCAGUGUUGAAAAGAUUCAUGCCAGAUAUUAUAUGUAUUUGCUGGUUUUAAAUAUGUCUGUGUGCGGUCGUGUCUAUAGAUAUCUAUCUAUAUAUUGUAGUUCCAGGAUGAUUUCAUAGAUGAUCACUCAACUUUUAUUUUAUUGUUUAUCAAAGUGACUCAACCUUACUCAAAUAUCACAUAAAGUCACUUAAAAAAAAAGAAUUAAUGACAAAAUAAAUAUAGGGACCUAAACAAAAAGCUAGGAAGAUUUAUUCUCUAGACGGUAUACAUAAAUUAUAUACAUAUUAUACACCCAUCAAUUUUUUUUUGAUACAACAUAUUAGUGAUACUAAGGAGAUAAACACCCAUGAUAAUAGUAGGAGAACCAAUCAUUGAGUUUAACACUAAAUAAAAUCUCUAUAAUAAGAGUUCAAUCAGAAAUAUAAAUUAAGCUUUUGAUUCAAGGGGGAAAAAAUUUAAGUGAAGAAUAAAUGACAAUUUUAUAGGUAUAUAGUUAGUAGGUAGGGAACUUUGGAUCCACGUUGUGAGUCCAUGACUCUAAGCCCCCUAUUAUAUCCUUUGCUGAAGUAAAACCCAAUUUGUGAAGCAAUUCAACAGCAACUUGUGAAUCAUUGCCUCUUCUGCAUAUUACAAACAGAGAAGUAUUUGAACCAUUCUCUUUAUUUACCUCUUUUUCCAAGGCAGCAGAUAUUUCAGGCAAUCUACCUUCCAACGUCGAUAGAGGUAUGUUCAUAGAGUUGGGAAGUGAAACAAUCUUAUAGUGAUGACUUGGUCGAACAUCCACUAAUAUAUGUGCGUCUCCUUUCCUCACUUUCUCAUUGUACUCUUUGGUGCUAAUUCGAUCAUCUGCUGAAAGAAAGUUCAACUUCAAUGGAACCUGAAACCAUCAUGAGUUACGGGAUGAUGAGUUCUAAGCUACGUCCUCAUUUGCAUACAGUUUUAAAUACAAUUGAGAAGUUGUGAAAAUGAAAUGCACCGUGGAUAAUGGAGUUUGAGUAAACUUUUCAUAAUCAAACUCCGAAAAUGUCUGCCUUGUCAGUACUGCAUCAUCUCCACAAGCUUCGCACUGCAAUGACCUUCCACGUAGUUUGACCUAAACUUGUGAGAGAGAUGAUGAUUUCAGAUGUUGACAAUGCCAAAAGAAAAAUAAGAUAGGUAGAGCAACAUGGGAAAAUAAAUAAAUAUUGAAAGAAGAUAUUCCAAAUAAAUUGAUACAUGUGCAAGAGAUUGUGGAAGUCCUAAUUAAUUACUAGUACAAGACAUGUAUAGAAUAGAUGUAAAACACAUGUAUUGCAAGUACUUGUGGGCUAGCUACUUCGAAAAAUCUUUUAUUUUUUUCAAUAACGAUUGCAGAUAUCAUCUGCCCUGUAAUUUACUUUUUUUCACAUCCUACUAUCGAUUUAAAAGUUUAUUGGCUAAUUCCAAAAGGAUUUAUCAAAAGAAUUAUUAUUAUACCUCGCCUUAGUUUUACCUAAUUUCAUUUUUUGCUCACUGCUUAUUUCAGAAUGCAAAAAAAGACUGCAACAUAUCCUCUGCUCAGAAAGAAUAAAGAACAAAGUGACAGCAAGUAUGAGAAAUUAGAAUAUCAAACACACAUUACGGAACCGGCCUGACAGCGCAUCCAAAAGAAGCAUUCUUCCGGAGAGUGGUUCUCCAACCAAGCUAGCAACCUUUAUGGCCUCUAAGGCUUGAAGACAUCCAAUAACACCUGGAACUGAAGUGAAUGGAAAAAUUAAAACUGAGAGACGGAUCUAAUGUAAUAUCACGCUGACAACACCAUAUGUUUCACAAUUGAACCCUACAAAUAAUACACAGAAAACAGUUGCAUUUCCCAAAAAUUCCAGGUUUGACAUGGCAUCAAUUCUUUCCUCUCCUAGCUCUACCAUUGUUAUAAACAAGAUAAGUAGACUGAACAAAUACACAAACCAUAGUGAGAACUUUGUUUCGGAAAACUAAGGAAAUUUCACAUAAGAGAUAAAAUAUGAGAUAAUCUAAGGAAUCCAGACACUUGUUGAAAAAGGACAGUAGAUUAGAUGGUUAUUUUGAGAAAAGAACAACGUACCAACUCCAAGUACACCACUAUCAGCACAUCUCUGACAAGCAUUUGUGGGUGGAGGAGUUGGAAAUAGGCAUCGAUAGCAUGGACCUCCAUUGUAAUUGUAAACCGUCAGCUAUACAAAUCAUUCAGAGUACAGAGUUAGUUACCAAUAAAUUUGAAGUUUUAGGGACACACAAAAGCUCCAGGAAUGAUGAAUGAUGAAUGUGUCAGGAAUGGUACCUGCCCUUCUAGUCCUAGAGCAGCUCCAGAUACAAGAGGCUGUUAAUACGAGUAAGCCAGUUAUCAGAAAAUGGAUCAACAUCCAAAAACGAAACUCAUAAAUCAAUUUCAUACUAGCACCAUGAGAUCACUGUCGGUAUGUACAGGCAAAAAUAUUCCCUACCACAGUUACAAACAUCAUACCAGAACAUUAGCAUGGCAACUUAAAAGUGAGGUAAUAGCUAUAUGAAAAACCCUCCUGUAAGCUUAAGCACGAAAGAUCGAAGGAAAUAUUAUUGCAUAAGAAGGCAAUUGUAUAGUCUAUAGCAUUUCCGUAUCCAGCUUUCAGUAAAUAUCACAGUACCAGCAGAAUUUGUAUAAAAAGAUAACAUCACAAGAAACAGCUAACCUUCCCAAGCACAACACAGCAAUCAUUGAUCAUGUAGCGGCUUGGAGCAUUGUCUGUUGCAUCUACUACCACAUCAUAUCUGAGAGAGAUCAUUAAGCAAAGAAAUGUCAAAAUCACCGCUCUACGGAAGCAAAAGAGGAAACUGAACCAACAAAAAAACAUCAAAAGAGAUGCAUAUAGGAAAUAUAUCAUGCAGCCAUAUAUAAAUAGGUGUUACUAAACCAUACUUGCUCACAAUUUCCAAAGCAUUGGACGUGCGGAAGGCUUCUCUGUGCUCCACAAUCUGAGUGGAAGAGUUGAUCCUAAAACGAACAAACAAAUAAAUUAGAACAUUAAAUGCAGGUUCAAUGCAAAACAACAUUACUCUAUCUGCGACUUACGAGCGACAAGUAGCAGCAGCUGACUCUACUUUUGACUUUCCAAUAUAUGCUUCAGUGUGUAUUAUCUGGAGCACAAUGUCAACACCAUAGCCAAUUAACUUAUUAACAGAAACAGCAAAAAUCUCAAGAUCACUUGACAAAAACAGCAUGCAUCAAAUUCAAUAGCCCGUGCAUACAACACAUAGCUAUUGAUCGAAAAAUUACCUGCCUCUGAAGAUUGUUAAGUUCCACUACAUCAUGAUCAACUAUACCCAUUCGACCUGCAAAAUACCAUACGAAAAACGUAAUUCUCAACAGCAUUGCAUAGUCGAAAAUUCCUUUUCAAAAAAAAAUAAAUAGUUACUACAAUGUACGGCUCCAUUCACUAACUUCAAAUUCUGAAUUCGAGAGCAAAAUAUACGAAUUCAGUUACAUAUCUAACCAACUCCACAGGCAGCAAGAUAUAGCAAAGCAGGUGAUCCUAAACCUCCAGCUCCAAUUACCAAAACUGAAGAUUUCAAUAGAUUCGCCUGACCUAUUUCAAGCAAUAAAUCUCAAUUAUUAAACAGAAAUAGUUAAUUAUUCAAGUCAAUUAACUAUCCUCACUGCAAAAUUGAACUGAACCGAACCUUGAACGCCAAAUGAAGGAAGCAAUAAGUGCCGACUGUAUCUGUAAAUCAUAUCGGGAGAUAAACCAUUUGAAUUGCUCAAAUCUCCAUUUGAAAGCGGCUGUGGACACACUGUACUUGAAUUGACUUCAAGUUGAUUAAGCUGCGCUUCGAGAGCAGAAAUUUGUUGCUCUAUAUUUCUCUUUUUGGACUUCAAGUGAUCGAUUUCCUGGCGAAUACGAGUUGCUUCCACGCCAUUGAAAUCCAUUAAUAGAAGCUAAGGAAGAAUAUGAAUAUUGUUGUGCUGUCGAAGAAGAAAUUUUGGCGUUGGUGAAUACAGGGACUGACGAUAUAAACGCACGUUAAUAAACCCUAUCGACCCGAUUUCCCUCUUAAAAGUGGUCAACUCUUAGGUUAAGUUUUUCAAUGUACUUGGUCAAAUGAAAUUUAAUUAUUAAAAUUAAGAAAAAUGGUUUUAAAGAAAUAUGUUUACAUUCUAAGCUUUAGAAAAAUGGUUUUAAAGAAAUAUGUUUACAUUCUAAGCUUUGUUGUGUCCUCUUAUCGUUGAUUGAUUUAGUUUGAUUUUAAAGCUUAUUGAUUUAUAGAUAAAUUAGAUCAUUAAAAUCUAAAAAAGUAAUGUUGUUAAGUAAAUUUAAAUUAUUUAAUUACUUAUCAUAGUUAUAGUUUGUAACAAUUAUCACUUGUAACUAAUAUUAUGUAUAUGGACUGACUUCGAAUUUGUAUAAUUAAUCCCGUUUAUAUAUGUAUAAUUCAUCAUAAUAUACAAAUAUAUAUGUAGAAUAUACAAUUAUCUAAUCGAUAUAUAUAUAAUUCACCUCCUCCCACUCUCUGCCCUAUCUUGCUCGCUUAUCUCCUCCCUCUCCCUCUCUCACUCGCUUAUCUCCUCCCUCUCCCUCUCUCACUCGCCUUUCUCCUCCCUCUCCCAAUCUCGCUUCCCAUAUAUACAAAUAUAUAUGAUAAUAUACAAUUAUCUAACCGAUAUAUAUAUAUAUAUACAAUUCACUUCUCUGCCACUCUCUGCCCUCUCUCGCACGUCUCUCUCUCAAUCUUGCUCUCCACUCUCCUCCCUUUCCCUAUCUCGUUUGCCUCUCUCCUCCCUCUCCCAAUAUCAUUUGCCAUAUAUACAAAUACAUAUGUAUAAUACACAAUUAUCUAAGCGAUAUGCAUAUACAAUUCACCUCUCUCCCUCUCUAUGCCCACUCUAUCUCGCCUCUAUCCUCUCUCUCCCACUCUAUGCCCUCUCUGUCUCGCCUCUAUCCUCUCUCUCCCACUCUCGCUCUCUUCUCUCCUCCCUAUAGCAUAUAGCUACUAAUUAUAAUUAUCAAAUUAUAUCUAUGUAGAAUAAUUAAACUAUUUUUAAAUAGGUAUAUGUAAAAGUUCUAAAAUAUCAAUUUAUGAUUACUCAUUAUUAUCAGUUCAAUUAGCUAUAUAGAUUUCAAAAAAUAUAUAUAUAAUAGAAAUAGGAUGACAUCAAAUAAGUUGAUAAAUUAUUUUUGCUCAAUAAUCAUUGGUAUUAUACAAAAAUGUUAGGAAAACACGGACAAGCACAAAAGUAUAUAUAGUAAAAGUAAUAGAAAUAAAAUGAGAAAAUAAUGACACCAAGAAUUUUACGUGAAAACCCUUCUGAAUAAGGGAAAAUACCACGGGCCAAGAGGAGCAACUGAUAUUACUAUAGUAAGGAAUUUUACACUGUGUAGUCACGAAUACAACACUCAAUGUGACUACUACACACUCAAAAGGAACAACACUCUUUUGAUUCCGUCUUACUAAAAUAUCGCUCACACUCUAUUUUUCUUCACAAACUAUUUUUCUUGUAUAGUCUAUAGAAUACCUCACUUUGCUCUCAAAAUGGUUUUUCUCUCUAACUUGGUGUGUUCUACAAAUAAGCAAGAAUGCUCUAUUUAUAGAAGGAUAAAAUCAUACCUAUGUCACUAAUGACAUAUGUAAACAUAACAACGUCAAAAAUGAUUGCAAAUUUUACCAAUUUGCCAACUACCAAAUCUUUUCUUUUCAACUCCAAUUAUUAUUCAUUUUUAACAAUUGUUUGUACCAAUUGAAUAGCUAAAGUUGACUAAAACAAUGGGAUGGAUUCAACAAAAAUAAUCGAGAAUUUAUGAUAUAGUUAAAAAUAAAAAUAAGUCCUAUAAUGAUAUAAAUAUAACUUUUUAUCCGUUCACCAAAAAAAGUAGUAAAGAAGCGAUAACUACUUAAAAAAGGAAAAAAUCGAUCGUAGCCAUAAAGAAAAAUUAGAGAAGUGAUGAUACUGUGACGAGGCAGGCAAAACGAUCCGCCACGUAGUGCUAUGUGUUCAAAGCUAAUAAGGCUGGACUCUUCGUGUGCCACUUGGCCCCUAAUUUAUUGUCUAUUCAUCCUUAAAUAAUUUGCCAAACUCUAGACUUACAUUUUAUUGGGUGUUAAAAAGACCUAUCUUCAUUGUAACAACAUAUUGUAAAUUGUGAAGUGAAAUUAGCUUAAGUUUUAGAAGUUAGGAGGAGCAUUCAACUAUGGGUGCCUAUAAUCAGUUUCUCUACUUUUGCAAUAUCUCGCGCAUCAAAUUACUCGCGCGCCCGCGCCAGCCCUUUUUUCUUAACACUAUACGGGUAUCUAUUAACUUCUCUCUUUUUUUAUUGCUUCUACAAUUUCAAUUUAUUUAUCAAUACUCUGAUUAUAUUUUGAUUUAAUUCAGAAUUUAAGAAUAUAAUCGGGGAAUUUUGUUAUUUUAAAUUAUUACAGACACGUGGAAUGUAUUAAAAUAUUUUUUAAUUUUAAAUAUGUCUGAUUGAAAGUCAAAAAAAGAAAAAAGAGACAAUGAUCUUUUCUUUUUAGUUUGUCUUUAAUUAUUUAUCCCUCUUAUUUUUAUCUAUUAUAUCCUCAAUUGAUUACUUUAAAAUUGAAAAAAAAAGGAGAAACUUCUAGAAAAAUUUGAAGUUUCUAAUUCAUUUCAUAAUUAAUACAGUAAAAUGGUGAACCUAACAUGUCAAUCGAUCAUUGUUAUCGAUAUUUUAAUUCAAAAGCUAAUAAGUAAUUACGAACAUUAUCGAAAGUGUGUUUAUAGACAUUAUCCAAGUCCAAGUAUACUAUUGAGUUGAGUCUCUUUAUAUCACGUCGAUAAGAUUUGCGUACAGUCUGAUCUCACUAGGUGGUGGUGUUAUUAAUGAUUAUAUUGUAUCCUUCUAAUUUCUUCCCUUAAUUAAUUUUAAUAAAUAUAUGGAGGCAGAGAUAUAGCAAGGAAAAUUAUGAUCAUCAUGCAGAAGAGAAAGCACCAACCACAGCUGAAGAAUUCACAAGAGUUGCUGAAGAAAUGGCUGAGGAAAAACAACAUCAAGGCUUUAGCAGCCAAACAGUGGACAAAGCACAAGAUGCCAUAAAAGAGGCUACAGCCACAACUGAUUCUACUUUUGAAUCUGUCAAGACUGGAAAAGAUAAUUUUCAUAAGAAUGGUGAUGAUGACUCUAAUGAUCUACUUAAAAGUAAUCCACAAAACCAAAUCAGUAGUUAAAUAUCAGAGUUUGUUUUUUUUUUUAAAAAAAAAUUGAAAUUAGAGUUGUAAUUAACGUGGUGGUGCAAUUUUUUUAUUUUUUUUUUGGGGGGGGGGGUCUAAAUAAUUAAUAGUAAUAGUAGAUAAGUGAGAGAUUUUCUUUGUCUUCUAUUUUCUUUGAUGGAAUAUUUUAGAAAAUUUGAAUAGUCAUAGCUUUUUAUUUUUUUUGAUAGAAUAUUUUACAGGUCGAAAAAUUAAAUCGUCAGUUUCAUAUAAAAUGACUAUACACUUAGUAGAAAGAUAAAAAUAGGAAAUUUGAUUUAUUUUUUUGUGUCUUCUAUUUUUUUAUGGAAUAUAUUACGGUUCAAAAAUCUGAAUCGUUCAAUUCAAAUAUAAAAUGAUUUACAUAGUAGGAAAAAUAAAGAGACUAUUGUAGUAAUUUGAGAGAUUUUCUUUAUGUUUUCUGUUCUUUUGAUGGAAUAUUUUAUGGAUUGAAAAUUUGUUUUAUUUUUUUGAUCGAAUAUAUUACGGGUCAAAAAUUUGAAUUGUCUAAUUCAAAUACAAAAUUACUUGCGUACGUAGUAGAAAAAAUAAAAAGAUUAUUGUAGUAAUUUAAGAGAUUUUUUUAUGUUUUCUAUUCUUUUGAUAGAAUAUUUUAUGAAUUGAAAAUAUGAAUCGUUAAUUUAAUACGAAAUGACUACACACUUGAUAGAAAAAAUAAAAAAAAACUAUCAUAAUGAUGUGAGAGAUUUUCAGAUGUCUUAUAUUAGUCAAAUACAAUAUUUUACAUGUCAAAAAAUUUGAAUCGUCAUUUUAAUACGAAAUUAUACGCUUAGCACUGAAAAGGCUACUAGCUAUAAACUCUGACGCUAGACUUGGAUUGAAUUGAAAUUUUAUACCAAAUAUCAUAAAUAAAGGCAUCAAAAUCUUGUAAUAAACAUUAUUUCUAUAGCUAUUUGUGGUGAGUUGAACUUGGUAUUUUUGACAACUAGUCAUUGAUUUGACCCUUCAUUGUGUGUUAUUGCACAAUAAUACGAGUCCCUACGAUGAAACAACCCUUCACCCUCUUAAAUAUACUUCAAAGAAAUUGGUUAUAUGUGGUGUCGGCAUACUGUAUAUUUACCAACAAUGUAUUAAGAAGAAUACAUUGACUCCUAACAAGUCAUUAGACGGCUAACCAGAAUCGUAAUAGAGUGGUAAAUAAUUUUUAUUCUUUAUAAUUAAAGGUUUGGAAUACGAGUAUCCUUGAUAUAAAAUCACCUUAUAAGAAGCGUUUUAUUUCAUUGUGAAACUUUUCAGUGCGAAUCUGAAGUUACUUGAACUCCAAUGUUGGUACCAAGGGUGGAAGAAAAAAUCCUUUUGGGCUUUUGUUAGAAAAUUUGGCUAGAAUAGUAAAAUAACGUAUUUCAGACUGUUAUUUUAUUUUUUGAAUAUUAUUAUCUUUUUAAUUUUAAUAUAUUUUAAUUAAAAAUAAAAAAAUAGUUUAUUUUAAAAGAAAAAAAAUAUUGUAAACAUUUUAAAUUUCUCGCCAAAUUUUCUAGCCAUUUAGCAUUAUCUAGAAUGGAAAACUCAAAAAAAAAAAAGUCAUUGAAUGAGUUUCCUUCGAGAAAAGUAAAUUCAAAAUUUCAUGUUUAUGAAUUUCUUCAACAAUCUCAAAUUAAAAUAGUAAUUUUUUAUUAUCAUCGUUGAAUAAAAAUAACAUGAUCAUAUGUUAAAUGUAAAUGAUAUUUUAAUCAUACAAGACAAUAACUUAACGCAAGAGAAAAUAAAGAAGCAUUGUGAAUACUCCCUCCGUUAGGUAUUAUUUGUUAUGGUUUCUAUGUUUAGAGUCAAACUAUAAAACUUUGAUUAACAUUUUAAGAUGUAUUUUUUCAUCAUAUUAAUAUGCAAAAAAAUGCAAUUUAUGGUACUUUUCAUAUAGUUUUAGAAUAUUUUUUUUUUAUUUACAGUAUCGAAUUAAUAUGAUCUAAUUUAACUUUUAAAAUUAAUUAACUUUUGAAAAGCGUAAUAUGAUAAAUAAUAUCGGACGAAGGAGCUUUCUUUAUUCAUAAAAAGUGAAUCGUGGAACAUCAAAAGAUGAAUACAUUGAACAAACUAUACUUUAUAUACUUCUUUUUCCCUUUUGGUUGUAUAUUUCUUUCUUCAAUCAAUCAAAAAGUAAAUAAAACAAUUACGUGGUAUUUUUAAAUAAAUAGUGGUACGUAACACUAUUUAUUUAGCUAAAAACAAUGAUGAAUCUUCAAUGUCGAUUCCUCUGUCUAGCCCAUUUAAUUUUGCAAAUAACCCAACAAGAGGAGCCGUGUUAUAAGUACAAGCCUCUGUUUGCAUGAAAUUUCUUCUAUGAUCAUUAAACCGGUCCUUGUAAUCCGGUCCACCAACUAGUGCCCCGAUUAGCGUAUUCGGGUUCGAGGUUUUACGUCCAAACCAAUUAUCAUAGCCUUGGGUACAACUUAUGAAAUUUUUACGCUUUUUGAAUGAGACCACCGAUGCACCCCUAUGGUGCACCCUUUGGGGAUACUUAGGUCCGUAGCCAACCAAGUAGCUCACACCUCGCGGGUUCAAACCCAAGAUAUAGUCAACCUGAUAUUUUUCAUGAGGUAAAAUCGGUUAGCUAAUGAGCACUAACAUACGUAUACAACAUAUUGCGAAUUUAUAAAAUCACAUCAAAGUAAGUCGAAGUUAUUAUAAUAUCUCGUAAAAAUUAAAAUUUAACCUGUGAUUUUGCAAACGCGAAGAUUUCUUCGGGGCCCACGGAACGACGUUCACAUCUAGCCAUUUGAUUAGUUUCCCUGAGAUGAUCGGAGUACACCAUGAGGAGAAAUGCUGCAUUUGAUACGUAUUGCAUGUUGUUCCAUUGACGGAUGUACAAUAAGCCCCCUGGGGUGCGAUGUACAUUAGUUUUAUUAUUUUGGUUUAGACAUGAACAAAGGUAAUAUUCGCCUUUCGAACGAUAUUCUUCGAUAAUUUUAUCGUCUUCUUUCUCUCUCUUAUCUUGCCUCGGUAACUGCAGAAACAAGAGCUUAAGUUUUAUGCAUCGAUAGUAUGAAAAUAUAUAUAUAUAUAUAUAUAUAUAUAUAUAUAUAUAUAUAUAUAUAUAUAUAUAUAUAUAUAUAUAUAUAUAUAUAUAUAUAUAUAUAUAUAUAUAUAUGCAAAAUGAGUGUAUAGGUAACAUUUUGUAAUAAUUAUGAGUAGUUGAUAUGAUGAACUUAAACCAGUUAGCUCGAUUAUAUAAACUUUUAUCUAAAUUAUAUUUAAUAGUGUAAGAAAUCUUUAUAUCGUCGAUUUAGGGGACAUACCAAUGACCAAAUGUCAUAAAUUAAGACAUUAUUAUGUUCUUCAACCAUAAGAAAAAACAAAUUAGUGGACUAAAAUUUGAGAAAGAAAAUUAUUGAUUGGUUCUCUAUUUGAUUUUGGACUAACUAUCUAUAUCUCUCCACAAACAACUUACUUUAUGAGAAGAUUUUGCCUAACAUAUGGUGUUUGUAUUCACAAGGACAAGGGUCCCUUGUUGUCUCUAUGAAAUUAAUUAACCAAUCUAACAUAAAAUCAUCACUAUUUUCUUGAGCCUACAUCGACAUCUCAACAUGUGUCAAAACUUACCUAAUUUAAUAGAUACAUGUCAUUUUCCGUCAAAUUUAAAUUCUAUGCACUAAAGGUAUAAAUUUUGUCCCCAACACAUGACAAUUGCAGAUAAUUCAAUUCGAUGAACAUUACUUAAUAAUGACAUUUAUAGUAUAGACGUUGCAUAAAUAACUUGUUAUAACAAGUUAAAUUACAAGUAUUGGAUAUAAUUUAAAUUAUUUUCCGAAAUGGAGAUUUCUUAACCGUAGAACAUGGAUUACGUUGAAAAAGAGUCUAGAUUAGUGACAAAAUUAUGGAGGGAACUCAUUAUGUUUAUAUUUAUUGAUUUUGGACUAAUUAUAUUCUAAUUCCGACCAUUAAUAACUUGAUUUAACAUAAAGUGUGACGAUAUGUUGUUUGUAUAUAUUCUAAAGUACAAAAUAUUGUUUCUAUGAAAAUAAUCACAUUUAAAUGUUUCACUAUUUUCACAGCGUACAUCUAUGACUCUCAACAUGUGUCAAAAAAACACAUAAUUUUAUUGACAUUUUUCCUAAUUUUGACUAUGUAAUGUAAAUGCAAGUAAUUAAGUACAUGUCUAAAAAUUAAAAAGACUAGUGAAAAUAAUCAUAUACCACGCAUGCAUUCAUAUGUAUUAUCAUUUCUCAAUAAUAUAUAAAUAUAAGUAUAAAAUAGGAAUAACAACUAAAGCAUAUAUUUUCUACCUAAUCAAACGAUAGAUGAACUAAAUUAAGGUAACACAUCAAAAUCAAAGUUUUUCAAAUUAAUUUAUGUACUCACUUAACUAACUAAAAAAAGCCUAAUAUAAUAACACUUAUUAAAUUCUAAACAUUGACAACUUUUUUUUUUUUGGUAAAAUAUUAAAAUAAUCGAUAAAAGUCGUAGGAAUAACACUUUUGAUCCCUCAAUUAUUUAUAAAUUCUAAUUCUGGUCCUCAUAAUAUACUUAUGACUCAACACAUCUAACCUUUUAUCCUAUUAUAUAUAGAAAAAUAUAUAUAUUACCAGUUUAACAUUAGCACGUAUAUAAUUUAAUAGUGGAAUGACUUAAAACGAACGAAAAAUCAAAUAUGUGUAAUCUUAUAUUAUAUCAGAAGAACUAAAAUCAAAAUUUACCGUAGCGGCGAGUAGUUGAAGGCCAGCGUAUUUGACAUCCCAACUAAAUUCUGAAAUGGCCCAAGUCGUACCCCCAAAAGAUUGAGCAUUUUGUAAUGCAUAUUUUAAAUAAUGAGAUUUGUCGGUGGCUUUGUAGAGCCAUAUAGCUGCCCAUAACAACUCAUCUUUGUAACCACUCAAAGAUGGAUAGUAACCUUUGGCUGCUCCAACACUUGUAUCAUACUUGCCUCUAAACUUGUCACCAAACUCAAACAACUACAAUAUUGGAAACAAACAAAUUAAUUGCAUAUAGUUAUUAAAUAUAUUAGGUAUGUAGUUGAAACAAACCACAAUUGGGAAUAUCAUCUUUAAAAUCUCACUUAAAAUGUUUAUUCCUCCGUAACUGGUAAAAAUAGUUGUCGUGUGAUUAGAAUGUUAUAGGUUUGAUCGAGCUAUGAAAAAAGCCUCUUGAGAAAAAGCAGGGUAACCUUUAUGUUCUGGCCCUUCUACAGAGUACUCACAUAACAAAUGUUUAGUGCGUCGAACUGUCUUUAAUUGGCAUGUAUAUAAUAAGGAAAUGAAAAUUUUUCAAAUUUGUGAUCUAAAAUACAUAUAGUGAUAGAUCAAUGAUUUUCACUAAAGGAUUCAGAGUAUAAAAACGUGAACACGCGAAGAAGUGAUCAAAGAAAUAAAUAUAUAUUUUUGAAAUUUAUGAUAUGUAUUGAAUAUGACAUACAUAUAACUUAUGUGGUGGUAAAAGUUUGUCAUUAAGAAUAAACGAAAAGUAUGACAUUAAUUGUUUUUCAAAUUUAAAAAUAUCGUCUCUCACUUUUUGGAGUUUUUUUCUACACCACUUGUGUUACACUAGUAAUACAACAAAUUGGUCCUUUUUUUUAAAUGUAUUUAAACAAUGUUAGUUUAAUUACCUGUUCCGCGUGGACCAAAAGAAGCUUAGAGUAAUGUGGAUUUGUUCUCCUAAACACAAUUGACGACGACGCCAACGCGGCUGCCGUCUCCCCGGCGACAUCCGACCCGGGGUGAUCCUCGUCGAUCUUAUAAGCUCGACGAGACGUGGUCAUAUCUUCCGGCCUUUGCCAACAAUAAUGAUCCGUAUCUCCUUCACCCACCUGACAAAUUCAAAAUUUAAACAUCAAAUCAAAAAAAUAAUAAAUCAUACUAAUGCCAAAACUAUAUAAUUAAAUAUGGGUAAUGACCCAACAUUGAAAUUCAAAGAAAUUACUAGCUUGAUUUACGUCUAUAAAGACAAUUACAAAAUGGACCCACUUAGAAAUCAAUUUUUUUGGGCGUGACUAAAGGGAUUAUUUUAAGCAAUCAAACGACUUAUAUUUAAUGAAUUUCUUAACACGAACCUGAAUCCAGAGUACGUUAGGAUGAGUGUGAGCUUUGACGAAGUAAUCCGUCCCCCACUUGAUUGCCUCAAGCGCGUAUCUGUACUCGCCCGCGGCGGCUAUAUCUUCACCAUAUUCAAUGACGCUCCAUGAUAGCAUCGUUAUAGUAAAAGCCAUCGGAAGUUGAAACUUAACGUUGUCUCCGGCAUCAUAAUAACCUCCCACCAAAUCCACCUAUCACAUAUUUUUUUUAAAAAAAAAUACAUAAAGAUAUAAAAAAAAAUGGUAAUUUCUAAUUGACUAGCCUUGUUCAAUACGUCAGCUAAAAAUAUAUUUUUUACUGACACCUCGAAAGGUAAAUAAGAAUGUCAACUAAAAAAGACAAACAUUUUAACUUGAUCAAGGCCGGUUAGUAAGGCCAAUUUUACUAACGGGCCUUGAUCAAGAUUGAAUCAAUUUAAAAAAAGAUGAACAAUAAUAUUAAUGAUGUAACGAAUUGUUUCAAUGCAUAAGAAUAUGAAUGUACGGACCCUUGAUCAAGUCCGUCGGUAAGGCCGGAAUGAUGACGCCAAAUAGCUCUUUGAUUGUACGGCAAACGACCGGAGCGUUGAGCUUCGAAAUAAAGGAGGCUUUUCGAUAGCGCAUCGGAAUAAUCUAACGAUUGAAUAAACGGAAUUACAAAUCCAAAUGUAAAAAUAAGUGAAAUCCAUUGAUGAAGAAAACAUAUAUUUCUUGAAAGUUUACAAUGAAUUUUUGAAGCUUCCAUGGCUAUGUGGUCCUUUCUCACAAUUUUUUUUCUCAUAUAUAUAUAUAUAGGUACAUGAAUAGCACGUGAUAUUAAAGUGUUUAGAAUUUUCAACACUCACUUAUGUCGUAAUUUUAGUCAUUUUUUUUUUAUAUUUUGUACUUAAAUUAAUAAUCGUUGUAUAUGGUGCGGUGAAGUUUUUUAUUUUGGCAUAAUAUAUAAACGUGUUUUUUUAAUUUGGUAUUAAUUGAUAUUUAUGCUUUUUAGAUUUUGAUAUGUACAAGUAAAUAUUUAAAAGUGUAUAAAAUUGAACAAAUAACUAUACAGACGUAAUACAAAUUAUUAGUAAUUAACUUGUUAUAACUAACUUAUAUUUUUACAUUAACAAUAUGAAAAAAGAAAAUUUAUAGUGUUUGGUGUGUAUAAUUUAAUUAAAUGUCUUAUGUAUGAUUUUGUGAGAGGCUAAUGAAACUUAAUUUACUUUAACUAUUUUGGUUGGGGAAAAAAUGUGUUUGGUGUAGUAACAUGUAUAUUGUUCAUGGGAUUUUCUAUUUCAAAAUUUGUAUACAUUAUAUUUUAUAUACUAAUAUAUAAAUCAUAUUUUCGCAAUCAAUUUUGAACCACUACUAAAUAUGGUGUACAAAUUGAAUUUCUCUAUUGUUUAUGAGAGGUCUCCAAUACGAAUAUUGAGACUAGCUAAAUCUUAAUAGGAAAUAUUUUAUUUUUAAUGAAUUUUGUAUCAUGUGAAUUUAAAUUAUUUGAUUCAGUGAAUUUUAAAUAUCAAAUGUCUAUGCCCUAUUACAUAUCAAACUAGCUAGUAGCAUUCUUAUGUUUGCCCUCAAUUUGUGAGUUGACAAAAUCACUAGCCAAUUAAGAGUAAAACGCGUUGUGUUUUGACAAUAUAAUAAUAGUUUUUAAAAUUUUUUCAUGUUUGAUAAAUCAAUUUUUUUAAUAAGAAAAUAAAAAGUUUUUUUAAUUAUAAAAAAAAAUGAGUUUCUCAGAUCAACAUUGAUUAUGUCCUCCUUAACCUUUAACAUACAUUAUCUUCAAUUCUUCACUCACAAUCUCGUAGCUCCAACCCCACCACCUCGAACCCCUACCUCCACCCGCAUUCUCAAUUAUAUUCCCAUAGUAUUUGUCUAUAGUAUAUACAAAUGUUUUACGUAUCAAACACAGAAAAAACACUUUUUAUUUUUCAAGAAAAUAUUUUUCUCCGCACCAACCACACCCUUAAUUACUAUUACUACUUAGCUAACUAAGCUAACUAAUCAAAUCCUUGUACAAGUUUCCACUCAGAUUCCUAGCAACUCUUACAAACCUUCUUUAAUUUAUUGUUUAAUUUUUUUUAACAAAAAAAUUGGGACCCUUAAAAGCAGUCCAUUUUAUAAUAAUUAAUUAUCCUCGUUUCCUAAUUGUUAUGUUUUAAUGAUUUGGGUACAAUGACUUGUAACAAAACUACCUAAACUCCCUAGAAAAAAUAUACACAAAAUAUUCAUACACGUAUUCAUUAAUGGACGUUUAGCUACUCAAUACUGUGAUGUUAUAACUAACGUUUCUUACCAAUAAUUUCUCAAUUUAUUCUUUAGUCAUUAUACUUAACUAAAUCACUAUAUUAGCACAUCAAGGAGUAAAACUUGUCAAAAAAAAAAAGGUUAAUUAAUUCAUUAUCUAAAUUUUUAUCUAAUCGAUGAGGGUAAUUUAAACAUUAGUAGCUUGUAUAUUAUUGGUUAGCUAUAUAUUCAGGGGUCGUUUGGUAGCUGGUUAGAAGGUAAGUUAUUGAUGUAUUAAAUUUUGUAUAACUAAUAUCACGUUUGAUUAACUUAUACAAACGUGAAUUUAACUUAUGUUUAGUUUACAAUUUUAAAACUCGUAUAACUAAUAUACGUAUAAGUUACAAGUACAUAUAUAUAUUAUGGUUAACUAAUAUUUAUUUUCACCUUAUGAAUGUAUAUUGUACGACAAUAGUACGCAGAGAUAGAGGCAGAAAUUGAAUAUCAUAAGAAUUCGAGUUCAAAAUUUUGUAUAUUACAUCCAUAUAGAUUUGCUUUAUUUAAAAUUUUAUUAUUUGCAAGUAUUUAACAAAUUUUUACUAUAUAUAUCUAGUUUAGACUAAAAGAUAUCGAAUUCAGAUGAAUUAAUUAUGUAAAGAAAAAAGAGAAUAAUACUUGUUAUUUUCUCAUUAUAUAUAGCAAAUUGGUGAUUGAUAUUUGAUGAUUUGAAUAUGUCCAAAAGCCUAAAAAUAGGCUACCCAUGGUUCUGACUUUAAUAUCAAAUUGAUUUUAAAGUCUACUUUGUAUGAGUCUAAAUUCAAAGUCUUUUUUCUUGGAGAGUUAAAGCUUAGACCAAUUUUAGAAGCUACAAAAUAUUAAUUUGUUCAAUUAUUAGAAAAUACUUUAGUAAAAAUGAUAUGAUAAUAUGCAUAUUCAUUGUCAUUACUAUGACCUUUUAAGGUAAUGAAUUAUUAAUUCACAUUUAGUUUAAAAAAAAGCUCAUUUUUAUUUCCUCAUCAAUAUGUCAGGGUAUUGACAUGUUUGAUGUUACACUAUAAAAGUAACACAUUUAUGUAGGUUGACUAAACAAAUAAAUAAAAUUUCAAAAUAUUGUUACCAUAUAGAAAUUAUUUAAGUGUAAAAAGUUGAUAGCUUACACAAAAAGAUACGCGUAAACACUUAUUACUAUACGUUUACAUCAAAUCAGAUAAUUACUUUUCUUCUAUUUUAUUUUUCGAUCUUAUAAUUAUUAUAUGUAUUUCUUUUACUUCGAUUUAUUAUAGUAUUCCUUUUUUAAAAAAAUUGUAACUUUAAUAAUCGUAUAUAUUACUUGUUUUUACUAUCACUUUUUUUCUCCAUUAUUUUCAACAUGACUUUUUCACUAUUUUUUUUUUCAUACUUUACUUGAGCAACAGUUUAUCGAAAUCAAUAUCUUUCACACCCUUCUCGUAACCAGUUUGUAGAAUUACGUUAAAUAUGUUGUUGUUGAACUUUUAACUGAAAAUAGUGACAUGUUGUGCGCUCUUAUUUAUUUAAUAUAAAAAUAAAUAUAAAUAUGUGGGAUUAAUUUCAAAUAAUUUACAGAAGCAAUGUUCAAAUUAUUAUUUUUAACUCCCCAUAUGUGUUUCGUUGGUUGUGAUAAAAUAGAAAUGAAAAUUAAAUUUCACUUUAAAAAAAUAUAUGUAAAUCUCAUAUACUAUAUGAAAUGUCUGUUUAAUAUCUUUUGUGUAUAUUAAUUACACAUUGAGGUUGACUUCGGUCAUUUUAGAUUCAGAUGCUUUAACUACUAAAAAGAAUUAAUUUAUAAAUUAGAUCCUUUAAUUAUUAUAUUUUUUACACUUGUUAAGUCAUAAUUAGAAGUGGGUGAGAUUUUUCAAAUUAAGAAUCUUCUUUUAUUUUCCUACUAAUCUGCUAAUAAUGUAGAAAAACAUUAGAAUGUUUGGUUCUAAGUGUCUAGAAACAACCUUUCAAUCAUACGAAAGAUAAUAAUAAGAUCUGUGCACAUCAUAUAAAAUGAUCGAUUAAAAUUAUUUUCGUAUAAAUAUAAUUGUAAAACGUACAUAUUAAAUAUAAAUAAAAGAACUUCCUGGCUUUGCCAUGACAUGUCUUCCUAAAGUUUUGGUAUAUUUACCUAAAAAGCCCGAUGAAUUUACUUCUAUUUAGGAUUUGGUCUAUUAGGUUUAACUAGUUGAUUUUACUUUACUUCUAUUUAGGAUUUGGUCUAAGUAAGUUUCACUAAUCACAGAAUAAGCUUUGUUAGCAAUAAUUACUAACCAUGUUCUGUGAUUAGUGAAACUAAUUUUGUGGGUAUCAAAAUUGACUUAGAAAAUAUAAAGACAAAUUAUCGAUCCAAAUGGCUCGAUAAAUGUUACUUAGACUUAAAAGAGCUCGAUGAAGAUAUUCUAAACAAAAGAUCAUAACCCAACUAUCCAAAUCUUACCCCCCCCCCCCCCUCCCAAAAAAAAAUAGCCCAAAUUUUAUAUGGGUUAAAAUAGAAUAGUAAAAACGAUUUGAGUUUAUACGAUUUGAGUUUAUAAUAACCGUGCGACGGGUUGAACAUGACGGAUAAAUCACUAGAUAUUGCUCAAUUUUGUUAAUAAAGUGAAUAGAUCAGUCAUUUCUAGCAAUCUAUUUAUUCUCUGAUUUGAAAUUGUGAUUAAAGGGAAAAAAUAUGAGAAGAAACGACACCACAUAGACGAACUAGGUAUUUGAUAUCUGUAUUAAGAUUUGACUAAAUCUAAGUUCGAGUUGAGAAGCACCACAACAGAGGUUAGGGAUGUCAAAUGGGCGGGUUGGGUUGAACUUGUAAAUAUUAAAAUGGAUUGAAUAGAAACUGGGUUGGGUCUUUACCCGCCCAAAUUUACUUUGGGCUUAAAUGGGUUAAGCUCAAAUGGGAUUAAAGAACAAGUUGGGUCUUGACCCGCCCAAUUUGAUCCGAUUAAUCUCAAUAAUUUAACUUUUAUAAUCACAAUUUGAAUUUCCACUUGAAUGGAAGUUAAAUUGGACUCAAUUGAGAAUUCUCUUCAAAGAGUUAAGCUUGAAGGGUUGUGAUAGAACCCAAUUCAAAUUAUCUUGAGCCCAACCCUCAAAAUUCUUGGCGGAUUACCUAUGUUUGGGUUCAUUUUUUACACCCCUAAUAGAGGGUAAAGUGGCCAGUAACACACAACUUCAUACCCAAAGUUCAAACCUGAGACCAUAGCUAAGGAGUACUUAUGAGUUACGACUCUACAAAGCCUUAUCAGUGUAGAUGAAGCAAUAUAAGAAGCUGGAUUUCUAUGACAGACGAAUUGUCACUUGUACAAAGCACAUCCAUUAGUUAUGCUUUGCUUCAAAACAAACUUCACAAGACCUCCAAAUCUCUAAUUAAUACUAAUAGAUACCAUUGCCCAGAAACCGAUCAUAGCACAAAUAUAUCAAACACCAAGAGUUAAUAAAAGGAUAAUUAACUAGAAGUAAAGAUCCAAAAUCCAAAUUCUGUGACCAUCCAUAAACAACUAUUAUCAGACCACCAAAGUAAAGACUAACAUACACAUUCUAAAAAGUUCGGUCAACAUAUACCGCAUAUAAUCUAAUUUACCAUACCCCAAACCCUCCAAUAUAAAAUCUAAGACAAAGAUCCACCAGUCUGAUGCAGCAUAGCAUCAAUUUCAUCGCCAUCUUCCAUCUCGAGCUGUCAAAAAGAAUUAUGUAAACAAAAGUAAUGAGACAACAUAUUACUGAUUAUAUGAAGUCUAGGGAAAAUGUGGACAUAUAUAUACACAAGUAGCAGGAAGAGGUGCACUGGUUGGUGAAGAAAAGGGGAGAAGGAAAAACCUCAUCAGGAGUCUGCUCGGCCCUGAGACGGCGACCAUCAAACAAGAAGGCAAUAGAGUUGAAGUCCACAGAUUGCCUAUCACAGUAAGCAUUCAUGAGCUUCUUCAGCUGUGUGCUUCUCUUGAUCCUGAAAAACACCUCAUUUCCAUCCUAAAAAAAAAUUGUCAGCUUCAGAGAGUUAAUGAAUUGAACGUGGAUUAUUGUCAUUCAGAACAUUUCCACAAGCUUUGAGGAUACUGACCUUACUCCGGCCACAAAUUAGCUAAAACAAGAAAAAUAAACAAACAAACUAAAACAACAAAAAGUAGAGAGUUUUUAAACACUAACAAGCAGCAUUUGUGAUUCUGUUUUCUUAUCAGAGAUCAACAGGUUUCUUUUCUUUAGAGUAUGAACCAAAAAGAUGAGGCAUGUUCAGAAAGCAAAACAAUUCAACAUUUCGUUCAUUGUUUUGCCUCCGCUUUUUGAACCUUCUCUGGUAGGAAGUUGAGUUUUUAGAUGAUUAACGUAUCAGAUAAGACAUAGCAGAAGAAAAACAAGGAAUUCAGCAAGAGAAUAUGAACAAUGGUCCAAUAGAAGGGAUGGAUGUGCUCAAGCAGAUAUAGCUUUUAAUACAUAUGAAGGUAAUGGAAGCAUAAGUGGAUUUGUAUGAUCACAAACAAUAGCUUUAACAUGUACACUCACAAUACAUUAAUAAUAUUUUCCUUAAUAGUUUAAAGAUGGUACACGCAGCCAGCUUGUUUGCAGCUCGACUACCAGAUACCUACUACCUCGCACCGGCACAAGAACAAGUUAAAUCCGCUCACCCAAGGUUUGGUCAAUUUAGACACAUAAGAAGAAAUCACCUAAUGUCUUUUGCCCUCCUUAAGAUUUGAACCUGGUUCUCAUUUCACUUCAUUGACCAUUGGGUCACACUCUUGGAUGUUGAACACACAAAAUGCUUAUGUCAAGCUAAGAACAAAUAAACAUAAACACAAGCCUUCCACCCUUAAUCAAUAAGCAAAAGGUCUCAGCUUCAAGCCUUGGGUAUAGAAAAAAUAAACUUGUUUGGAAUGCUGCCCCAGAAUGAGCCUUACACAACGCAUGAGUAUAGCUGAAUUAUACAUCGAAUACAAAAGUUUUCAGCAAUCUUUACACUAAGCCACCAUAUAUCUACAUUUUAUCUUCUUCCCACAAGCCCUUUUAGAGUUCAGAGAUGAACUCAUUAAGCAUAGCUAAUCUAUACCUCGAAUAAACAAGCAAACUAAACUGAUUGAAAACUAACACAGAUAAACAAACUACUGCCAUCCGUUAUCAGCAGGAAAAGGAAAACUAACACCACAUACUCCUCUAUGUCCAAAGGCUUUAGUCUCUCCAUCUACUAGUAAGAUCAAACCACGAUGCACGCGAUGUGUGGGUUAGGCAUACGCCAAAUUGCUCAAAAACCCGAUAUAAACAUGGAGAAGGAUCAUCAUGUCCUUUCUCCGCGAAUUUCAAACCCUGCACAACUACAGCACAGGAAAUUCUCGUUUAUACAAAUUACUCCGUCCCGUUUACUAAAUUGAAUAACGAUCAAAGCCUAGCAGCCUGACUAACAGCCCUAAUUUGCAAAAAAACAUUCAUCUAACACAAUUUUCAAACCUAAUACAAACAUCACAAUCCAUAAAACAGAAAAAAAAAACAAUCAAACUAAUCACUUGAUCAAAAACUAAAACAAUUAGCAUCAUAUAUAAUUGCAGCCAAAUAAAAAAAUUUAAAAAGCAAAAAAAAACCUGGCUCUUGACUUUGAGGUUAAUGUGACCUCCCUGAUCGCCGGCCGGCUUCUUCUCUUCCUCCUGUUGAGUGACGCCUGACAUUUUUCUCUGAUAUUUCUUCUUCUUCUUCUCUGUUCUCACUGUAUUUCUGCCACUUUUUCUGCUCUGAAAACCCUUCUUAUACCUAACUAUAAUGUGUCCUUUUUUCUAGGGAUUAAAAUCUACGGUGUAGAUUAAAACUAAUUUCAAUCUAUGGAUGACCUUGUUCCACGUCUGCACGAUGUCGUUUCCUUGCCCCCAAUGACUAGGGAGAAAGGAUAUGUCCCAAAGUUAAGCUCAGAGAACAACAUUUAUUAAGCCUCGUGAUUCUCGAUCACUUUAUUAAUUAUCGGUCUUAAUAAUUGUAACGUACGAAAUAAAGAGAAAAAAUUAGCUUAAGAGUGAUUUUGUGAUUCUCCGUCACUUCAUUGAUCAUUUGUUUGAAUGAUUUUAAUGUAUGAAAGAAAACGAUAGGAUUGGUGUUAAAUACUGAUUUUCAGUUAUUUAAUCGAUCAUUUGUUUGAAUGAUUGUAACGUACGGGAGAAAAUGGCACAAUUGAUUUCAGAGUGAUCCCGUAAAUCUCGGUCAGUUCAUUGAUCAUUUGUUUGAAUGAUUGUAAUGUAUGGGAGAAAACGAAGGAAUUGGUUUCGGAGUGACCCCGUGAUUCUCAGUGACUUCAUUGAUCAUUUGUUUGAAUGACUGUAAUGUAUGAGAGAAAACGAUAAGACUGGUCUUAAAGUGACUUCGUGACUGUCAGUUAUUUUAUUGACCGUUUGUUUGAAUUGGUUGUAACGUAUGGGAGAAAACGACAAAAUUAGUUUCAAAGUGACCUCGUAAUUUACGUCAUUUUAUUGACAACUUGUUUGGAUCGUUGUUACGUAUUAAAGAAAAUGAGAAAAAAAAAUCUUUUAUAUUUGAUACUCACUUCAUUUCAAUUUAAUUGAAUUGUUGAAACAUUUUUUAUUUUUUAUUUUUCCAAUUAACUAAAUCGUUCGAUCUUCAAGACUACUUUUAAAAUUAACUUGUUCAAUUUUUAAGACUAUUUUUAAAAUAUUCUUUCAAUUUUACCCUUUAUUAUUUAGUACUUAAAUUAAUAAUUAUAAUUAAUAUUUAGUUAUUUUAAUCAUAAAUUUAAUAAUAUUUAAUAAAGAUAAAAAUAAAAUAUGUCUAAUUUAUAUUUUAAUUAUUUUUUUUCUUAAAAUGUAUGACACCUUAAUAAUUUAAUUAAUUUAAAACGAAGGGAGAAUCAAAUAUAUAACGGGCUUUGUUGGAUAGAUCAUCCUUGAAGUAUAGUUUUAAGCGUUUAAGUUUGUCACAAGUUAAAGAUGUGUUUGGUCUCCAUCAAAUAUUUAUGGAACUUUGUUCGAUAGAUUUGACGUAAUUUAUAGGAGGAAAUAGUGAUAACUCACAUUUAUAGGUAUAUUUUUGCAUUUUUUUAUUCAAAUCUUGUUUGAAAAUAAAAUAAAAUCAGAGGUUUAGAGUCCGUUUGGAAUGACUUACAAAAGUAAUUUUAACUCAAAAAUAAAAAGUCAAAUUGAAAUGACUUUUAAGUCAACGGGGAUAUCUAUUUUUGGUUCCAGACUUAUUUUAAGCCAUUUUUUACUUAAUUUAAGUAAUUUCAAACACUUCUUUGAUUUAUUUUAAGUUAUGUUUCAUAUUUGACAAAAACUUAUAUAGGUAUAUUUUUGUAUUUUUUUAUUCAAGUCUUGUUUGAAAAUAAAAUAAAAUUGGAGGUUUAGAGUUCGUUUGGAUUUUCUUAAAAAAAAGUAGUUUUAAGUCAAAAAUAAAAAAUCAAAUUGAAAUGACUUUUAAGUCAAGGGGGAGACCUAUUCUUGAUUUCGGAUUUAUUUUAAGCUAUUUUUGAUUUAUUUUAAGUAUUUUUUAUCUUAUCAAACACUUCUUUGAUUUAUUUUAAGUUAUGUUUCAUAUUUGACAAAAACUUAUAUAAGUCAAAAAAGCUGACUGAAAAGUAGGUUUGAUCAACUUUUAAAUCUAUGCAAACGGACUCCAAAAUUGGAUAGGUGUUCAAUUUAUUUAAGUUCGGACAAAAUUAUUGAUGCACUUUUUUAUUGUUUAUUUUAUUUUAUUUUAUUUUAUUUCAUUAAAAAUAAAUGGAUAUAUUAACUUAAAUUGACUCAUGAAAAAUGAUAUCAAAUUAUUUUCUUAAAAAAAUCUUUUAGUAUUUAAUAUAUUAUAUAUAAACAUAAUUAAGAAAUAAUUAUUUUUGUUAAAAAAACAAAUAACACAAUUAAAACAUAGUAAGAAAUCCGCAUAAUGGAUUGUGACUCACAUACAUUUCGAACGCAAAUAGAUUUUACAGUUAAUUCGUUCAAAUUUAACCUAACAUACUGAUCAGAUAAUUUAUUGAACAAUGAAGCGAAUGUUUUAUAGCUUGUUAUCGGAAGCUCUUUGCUUUCUUUCAAUCCACAUGUAGUAAACUUAAGCCACUAAUUUUCACUAUAUAUUUCUAAGUUAGUAAUUCUUCCAUUUUCAUAUUUGGAUAAAUAAUUCCACUUUCUCUUCCCAACAUAUUCGAUGCAUAUGAACACCUUGUAAACAAAACAUGUGAAGAACAAGUGGGAAAUGUUGUUCUUCACUUGGAAAAAACAUUAGUGAACAAACUUGGUGGUUAGCAAUAUCACAUUUGAACAAAUCAAUUUUGUGAACGAACCUAACAAGAUUAGCUAACGUUUGAUUAUAGAUUUUUCGGUAUUUGAAAUUUUUUUUUUAUCUAAUUUUUGUAAAAGCUUGGCCAAUAAUUUAAAAUAGUGUAUAAAUAAACUUGUUCUUUAACUUGACUUUAUUUGACGCUUAUGUUCUAUAGUUUUGAAUGCACACAAGCAAACGCUUAAACUUGUAUAGAAUUGAACAUGUAGAUAUGUUCGUCAUGCUUGACAUCCUACAAGGCAAUUUGCGUCCUAUAUGGCGCUCUACGUGCAUUAUGCCACAUAGAACGCAUAUACAUAUUUGUUCAACUUUUUACAAAUUCAAGUAUUCUACCUGAUCACAUAUCAGCUAAAGUGAAGUUAAAUAACAUAUUUAUAUAUUAUAGCAUUUAAAAUACUCCAAAAAAGUUUGCUUUUGAAACUUAAUCAAAUAAGUUAUUCACUCGUUUCAAUUUGUUUGUUUUACUAACUAAUACAUCUUUUCUAUUCCGACAAUUAUUUAAUUUCAAAAAAAAAAAUCACAUCACUUGUUAAGUAUACAAUCAAUCACAAGACCCAAAAAAAUACAUAUCUCUAAACUCCUAUCUUUAAUUUAAAAUCAGAAGACUCAAAACUCAAAAAAGUAUACUAUUUAUUCUCUUAAUUAAGCUUUAAUUCCAUUAAUUAAGUAGUAAAUUAGAAAGGAAAAUCCGGAUUUUGGUGGUCUAAUUAAUAGGCGGGAAGAUCUCAAACGUGGCUGCUUAUAAUAACGACAGGUGUCUUUUUUAAGAAAAAUGGGACCCACCAUGUCUUUGAAUUUUAAAUGAAAAAGAAUGAGUCGGCUUUAGUUGAAAAAGAAGACUUUAAGGGUGUGGGCCAGGCCCUAUUCGAUUGGCCUUCACCAUGCCAAAGCCCAGUCCAGUGGGCCCAUCUUCCACCAACUUGAUUAGUCACCUCUCAUUCAUUUAUUUUUAAAAAAUAAAUAAAUUAGAAUCACAAUUUUUUUAAUUAGAAUCACAAUUUUUUUAAAAAAAAAAUUAACUUUAAGGUUAUAACGUGGAGAAACAAAUUUUCAUUAACAAAGUGAAAGUUUAGAUAGAAGUGACAUAGUGAAAAAUUUAAAAGAGACAUGUCGAUAGUAAGAUUUGAACUCAGACUCAACAAUACUGGAAGAGCCUUAAACAUCCAGCUAAGAGCCAAUUGACCAAUUGGAUGAUUUGUUCAUUGGGUAUUCUAUGUUAAUUUUACACAAAUACAUUAUUAAUUUCUACUUAGGUAUAUAUAUUUUGUGACGAGGUUAAUGUGUGUUCGAUCACCGACAGACUCUAUGUGGAUCCGCUCUGAGGGUAACAUAUCCCACGGGAUUCCACAAAUGGGGCUUUUGGAAGAGUAAAGUGUGUGCAUAUGACUACCUCGUGGAGAUAGAUUUGUUGUUUAUAAAGAACUCUCAGCUCAAAUCAAGUGCAACGCAUUAAAGUAUAUAAAAGACAAAAACAAUGUAGAAAAAAGUACAAAAACAAAAAAUAGUAUAAUAAUCAAAAGAUAAUAAACAAACGAGGACAAUAGAUAUCAAAAACAAAAAACUAUAACAUAACUAGUACAACGAAAAGCAAUGCAGAACAUAUAUGUAAAAAAUCGUAACAAGUUUAAUGGUGUAUAACCAAAACAAAUGAGUAAGUAAUAUCGUAUACCAAAAACUAGAGACUAUAUGAAUCGACUACUAAUACAUUCCACAUGACAUUCUAUAUUACUUCUCAAACAAAUACACAAAUGUGCUAUUAAUAAGACGAUUUAAAUUACCUACUAAUGUCACGACCCAAAUCGGGCCGCGACUAGCACCCACACUUACCCUCCUGUGUGAGCGAACCAACCAAAUCUAAACCUUAACAUUUCAAUGUACUAUCAACAUAAAGUAAUGCGGAAGACUUAAACUCAUUAAUAAAAAUCAAUUCAAUAACUAUUAUUUCCCAAAAUCUGGAAGUCAUCAUCACAAGAACAUCUAUGAUCAAAGUACUAAACUAAGAGUAUUCUAAAAAGCUAAAACAAGUAAAAGCUAGUCCAUGCCGGAACUUCAAGGCAUCAAGACAUGAAGAGGAAGAUCCAGUCCAAGCUAGAAGCAUUAGCUCACCCUGAUAUCCGGAAUAAUGAAGACUGGCUAGAGUUGCGGUUGAGUUGAAGAUGACGGCACGUUUGCUGCACUCCACAAUUAAACAAGAAGAAAACAUAAAAGUAGGGGUCAGUACAAAACACGGGUACUGAGUAGAUAUCAUCGGCCAACUCAAAAUAAAAAUCAAUAUAUAUAUAUCAAGUAAUAUCAUAAAUCAACUAUGAUACUCAACAUGUAGCAACAGCAAGUACUAUAUCAUUAACAAUUACCGUCAAGUUCACAAAUGAGGACUCAAGCCUCAAUGCCAUACUCAUUUGGGAAUUAUGUUCAUUAGAUUGAGUAUAUUAACAUCUUUCAAGAUUUAUUAUCUUUAUUUCUCUUGUGUCGGUACGUGACACUCCGCUCCCUCAUAUUCAUUAAUCCUCUUGUGUCGGUGCGUGACACUCUGAUCUCCUAAAUCUACGUGUCGGUUCGUGACACCCGAUCCCAUAAUACUACGUGUCGGUUCGUGACACCCGAUCCCCUAAUUCUACGUGUCGAUUCGUGACACCCGAUCCCCUAAUUCUACGUGUCGGUUCGUGACACCCGAUCCCCUAAUUCUACCUGUUGGUUCGUGACACCAGAUCCCCUAAUUCUACGUGUCGGUUCGUGACACCCGAUCCCCUAAUUCUACGUGUCGGUUCGUGACACCCGAUCCCCUAAUUCUACGUGUCGGUUUGUGACACCCGAUCCCCUAAUACUAUGUGUCGGUUCGUGACACCCGAUCCCCUAAUCUCUUUCUAUCAAUUCAUCACGCCUUCUUUCUUACCAAGGCAGCAUCCAUCCCAUUAUUUUAGUUCAUCACGCCUUCUUUUAUACCAAGGCCUCAUUAUUAACAAAAAGAUUAGGAUUUUGCAAGAUUUGGGAUUCAAUAACUUUAUCAUGCUUAUAUAAUCACAAUUAUAUAAUUACAUCCAUGCAAGCAUACAAUUAAGCACAUAGCAUGGUUUACAAUAUUAUCAAUACAUAUCAUUCGCUAUUAAGAGUUUACUACGAAUAUCGUAAGAGAAACCAUAACCUACCUCCACCGAAGACUAGUGAUCAAGCAAGCAAAUUCCCAAAGCUUUGUUCUUCUUCUCUCCCUGUUCGUUCGUUUUCUCCCUCUCUUGUGCUUUCAAAUUUUCUUAUUCAAACCCUCUUUAUUUUACCCUAAUUAGCAUAUAAUUAAGAAUAAAAGGUGGCAAUAAUAACCCCCUAAUUAACUUAAGGUUACCUCUUUUAACCCCCAAGAAAUUUAGUUAUUAAUAUAAACCCACGAAAUAUAUAAUUAUAGCAGGAAUAGUCCAAAACGCCCCUUUAAAACUUAACCAGAAAUCCGACUCCGACUGGGAUUACGCAACCUGUGACGGCCUGUCGCGCCCGCGACGGUUCGUCAUGCAGGUUCGUCAGAGACUCGAUUUCCUUAAGGAGUCUGUGACGGCCCGUCGUACCUACGACGGUCCAUCCUGCACUUCCGUCACGACGUUCAGAGAAUCGUUCCCUAUACCAAAUUCUCAAGAGUUGAAGUGUUUUGAAACGGUGGAUCACGACGGUUUGUCGUGCCUGUGACGGUCGUCACAGAGUUCAGAGAGUCUAUUUCAGCACCCGAAUUUCAGAAUUUCUAAGUGUUUUGGGACGAGACACCCUCGACGGUCCGUCGUGCCCAUGACGUUCCGUCGUGGGUUCCGUCAUCUCAGCCUGUUUUUCCAAAAAUAAAAUCUGCUACUCAAAACGACUAAACAGGUCGUUACAACUAAUCUUCAUCUUAAAAAAAAAUGAACUUCCAACAAAAGCAAAUUCAUGAUUAUAAUAUAUAUAUAUAUAUAUACACACACACACACUUUUUUCCAAAAAUAAAAAAUUUAAAUACUCAAUCAUUAAUAAUUUCUUCUAAUUAAUAUAAAAGGACUAUUUUCAAUUUUAGAAUGACCAAAUCUUUACAUUGAAUCCUUAAACAAUAAAAUAAAAACAUUAUAAUGAAUUUGUUGAAAAUAUUAUUCACUAACCUAAUGUAAUUCAACUACUCAUAUUAUUUAGACCUAAUGAAAUAAGUGUCCACCUUUUCAUAGGCAAAGCUACAAUACAAUAUAAAUUAGAACAAAUUUGGUAACAUUUCAAUUAUUUUCCAUCUUUUGUAUUAAAAUUUAUAUAUAUAUGAAUUAAAUUAUGGUAGUUGGUUUGGUCGAAAAUUCGAACGGCACAAUUAAAUGGUCAUAAUAAUGGACGGUGCGGCCAAAAGAAGAAUUAGAAGUCAAUUUUUCUAGAGGUGAUAUACUAUGUAUGGCGUUGAAAAAUUCAAUUUACUAACUUCUAUUUUUAAAAAUAUUAUAUUAUUUUUUUAUUAAAUUAGCUUGAUAUAAUUUCAUAUUUAUAUUAUAAUAAUAUCAUAAUUAGAAUUUGUUCGAUUUCAAUUUAUAUAUAGAACUAUGAUUUUAUUUUUUUUGACAAAUAUUUCAAACUUAUAUAACAUGCUUAUAAACAUGUAGAAAUAUUCAAAAGAAAGUAAAUAAAUUUCCAUAAUUAGUCAAUUAAGCACCAAAAAAAAAGGACAUUCAACCAAAAUAAAGAAGUCAACAUUCUAACUUUUAAUUAAACAAUUAACUUUGCUCCAACCUCUAAUCUUCUUUUAAGAGAAAAGAAAAAAUAGGAAAAAUGUUAUGUGAAAUCAAAAUAAGAUAAACAAAGAGUGUAAUAGUUACUAGGCAAAACAAUAUCUUUGAUAUGGUGUAGGAUAUUUAUUUUUUUCAAAAUGAGUCAAGGAAAGGAGAUUACGAUGUGAAAAUCGAACCUUCGUUAAAUAAAUUAAAUUGAAGUAAUCAAUUAACCAAAUUAUUAAGCAAUGAAGUAACAAAUAAAGAUAUGGAGUAGGAGAUAAAUAAUAUCCAUUUUAUUUUAUUUUUGGAAAAAAGUGUAAAAAAAUUCCAUGGUGAAGUUAAAAAAAAUCACUAAAGGUCGAUAAUUGUGAUUUAUAAGUUAUUGCACACACUUGAUCAAAAAUUAUAACAUGUCACAUUUUUAUAUAGAAAUCUAGCAAAUUUCGUUCUUCCAAAAAAUAAAAUCUCAAACAAAAACAUCUUAUAUAUUUGUUUAGUUUUUUCUAAAAAUAAAAUAAGCUUUUAUUUUCACCUAACAUAUUAAGGAAAUUGAAUAAUGAAAAAAUUUCAUACUAGAAAUGAAUUUAACUAAAUUAAAUAUGCGUCAAAAUUAUUUUAAGCAACAAAUUUAUAUAUAAAUCAUAAUAUUGUAGCUUCGCCUUAACUAUUACAAAAAUGUAAAAAAAAUAGAUAGGUGUCCAAAAAAAAAAAACACAAAUACCUAUUACUUUUGAAAGGUUCAAUUAAAAAUUUGGAAAUAUUAAUAAAUAAAUAAAAAUACUAAUUUAAUUAAUAGCCAUAGCAGAAAUCAUGGUAUACAAUGAAGGAACUUUAUUUCUUUAGUUUUUUUUUUAUGCACUAAUAUAGACCUGUAUAUUGGCAUGUUCCCACAUGACCAAAUGAAUUAUACUAAAUAAUACCACAAUGUAUGCCUUAAUUCAAUCAAGAAAGACUUCAAAAGAUGUUUUGAUGGUAAAAUACAUUAUAUAGUUCAAAAAUUGUUGACUUACCCAAUGAAUAAUUUUGAUACUAACUGAUCGUUUACUAGCUGAUUAGAGUUAUAUAUAUAUUAAGUAAUUUAGAUUUAGUUACGAGCGAAUUUAUGUAUUAUCUUGUGCAUGAAAUUUAUUAUAUAGGGAUGAAUUCUAUAUCUAUUAGUUAUUUCACCUUCUAUUCAAUAAAAAAUAAGAAAACAUAUAUUAGUUAAAUUUGACAUGAAUAAUGUAUUUCAUAUCUAUAUAUACCAAACGUCGUAUUAGUUAUAUAAAAAUUAAUAUAUAAAUAACUUAUUUCUUGUUUAGCUAACAAAUGACCCCUAAACGUCUUCAAAAAUGGGGGAAGAAGGAUCGAGUGAAACAGAUUGACAGAGAAAUAGAAGUUAAAGUGUGAAAUUGCUUGAUUAUAUUCUCAAAAUAAAGUCACGAGUAAUAUAAAAUAGAGACUAUUUAUUCUACAAAAUUAGGAAUUGUUAGAGACUUAUUAGGAAUAGAAAAUUUUGAAAUUAGCUAAGACAAGAGUAAUAAUAUAUAUUUUUUUGGAUAUAUAUUAAAUGAUUACAAGAAUAAAAUAUAAUAAGAUUGGGUUAUUUGGCCUCAAAAAAAGCAUCUCAAUUAUAAGGAAUAUAUAAAGGAGUGAAUGGAGAGGGAAACAAAAGGAGAAUAUAAGAGAAAAGGAGGUGAUAAAUAAUUAAUAUUGAAAAAAUAGUUUAAUUAGUUAAUGGUAGUUUAUUGAAAAAUUUAGUGGUUAAGAAAUUUAUGUAAAAAAACUUUUUUUUUCCCUUCAAAUUAUUGCAAUAACAAUGUAUUCACACUUUCCUUUUCACUAUAACAUGAAUUCACAUAAAAAUUUUAACAUUAUGAAUUCUUAUAAUAAUUUUAGGUUAAUAAACAAUUAUAAAUUAUUUCAUAAAACAAUUCAUUUACUUCCUAAACAUGUCUAGAUAUAUACGAUUCAACUUCCAUUCACAUUUUACUUUGAAAAUGCUAAUAUAAUUUCAAAUCAAUCGUACGUAAUAUGUUCUUUAUAUAAAUUAUAAUAUAUAUUUGAACGGUGAAAAAUGGCAUUAUGUAAAGAAAAAACCUGUAAGCUAUAUUCGAAAACAAAAAGAAAUUAAAAAGAAAAUCAAAAAAUUCAACUAAAUCCAAAAUAUCUAUAUAUAUAUAAAUAAUUAUAUUAAUCAUAAUACUAUUUUUUUGAUCCCGUUCACGUUAAAUAAAUAGCGACUAAUAUGUACUAAUCAAAUUGAACUUUUUUUUUGGGAAAUUAAUUACUACGUGUAUUGGGUCACAAUAUUUGUAUGCAUGAAAUUUUCAUAUCUCUUGCAAUAAAUUAUUUAUUAUAUGGUUACAAAGUGGUUCGAAACAUUAAAUAUAAUAUUUUAAAAUUUGUUGAAAUUGAUAAUUACUAAAAUUUAUAACUAUCGUUGAACUUAUAGGAGCAAAAAGAUACUAGCGGCAGGAAUGCUCCCAAUUUUUUUUAUUGUACAAUAAAUUGCACUUCAAUGUAAUAAUUUACGAAUUAAAAGAGAGAUAAAUUAUAUUAGAUAAGUUUCAUGUAACGAGCUCAAUCAAGUACGCAGAGAAUUCUAUAAAUGGAUUUAUUUAUUUUUAAUUGUUUAUUCGAUGUUUGAUUACUAUAUUGAUUAAAUUCGAAUUAGCAUGGAAAGUUUCAUAUAAGAAUAAAACACUCCUUAACAAAAGACGAUUCAUAUCCAAGAUAAUUAAAAUUUUAAAUAUAUUGAUUAAAAAAAAAUAUAUAUUUAUCAUUCCAUUAGAAUCCGAAAUUUAGUAAGAGAUUUCUUAAUUAACCAACUUGGUUAUUUAAAUUAUAUUUUCCACUCAAUCUCUAGUUAAGCACGAAACGAUACCUAAUACCCUAUCAUUAUAGUGAAUUUUUUUGAUAAAGUUUUUUUACUCAACCAACUCAAUUAUUCUAAUGAUGCUCCGUAUUAUUGUUUCAUAUAAAAAUUAAUAAAAGGGUAAGAAAUAGCAACAACAACAAAAAAUAAAAUAAAAAAAAGUUCUUAUUAUGCUCCAUUUAUUUCUCCAACUACACACUAUUCCAUAUUUCAAAAUUUUAUUAAUUUCUUUCCAUACCAACUUUAAUAAUUUGAAAUUUAAACAGAAUGUUUAUUCAUUAUUCAUAGCAACCACUCCAGGCCAACUGGCCUACAUCACUUUGAAAAAAUAUAAAAGUAGAAAAAAGUGAGGACUAUUAUGUCAUUUCAAUGUUCAUGUUAGGUGCAUAGAGUUAAUAAAUAAAAAAAUAAAGGACUCUGCGUGAAAAGGAAAAAAAAAAGGAAUAAAGAAGAAAUAAUGAGUCAAAGACAUGGUAGAGUUCUCGAGAAAGCACCACCAAAUAAUGUGAUGCAAUGGACGUAUUAUUUCGUCUUUUAAUUAGAAAUUUAAAUUUUAAAUAUAUUAAAAAAAUUAAGUUUUAGAUUUGUGAGGAUUGCCUCGAAUAAGCUUCUAUCAAUUUAAAUUUAUAUUAAUCAGACUCUGAUACUAACGAUUAUUAUUUGAUUGAAUUUAUACAAGUUAUUGAAGAACAAAAUAAGGACUGACCUUUUAAAUAAAAGAAGCUAGUCAAUGAACAAGCUCUAUCAAUGUAGAUAAAGAUUAAGCGGACUCUAAUUUGAAUAUCAAAUACUUACUCAUAAAAAAGAAAAUGAGAUCUUGAGAAAGCUAAAAACCUUACCCACGAAUGAGCUCAGAUGAUUUGAAUUUGAAGUAAUCAUCUUAAAUUCAAUAGUAAUAAUAUUUUUUACUUUUAAAAAACAAUCUCGAGAUACAUAAGAAAUUUGAGUCAAUAAAACUCUAAUAUAAAUAUCAAACAUUAAAUAGUUAAAAAAAAAACUCACCCGACCCCUAAAAUCCAUUAAUUAUAUUUUCACCCCUUGAGUUUUCCUCUCUCCAUACCAAUUUCACAGUUCCCAAGAAAAAAAAUCAUAAUUUUUACAAAACCCUAGAAAUAAUAAAAGAAAAAAAGAAAAGAAGAAGAGAGAGAGAGUCUCUCUCUUUCUUUCUCUCUAUUUUUUCUAUCAACCAAACAGACCACAAACAGUAGAGAGAGAAACUCAGAUUUAUAGAGAGAGAAAGUGUGAAGCUUUUGCAGAUAAGAAUCCUCAUCUCUGCUUCCAUGGCUUUAACGUUUCAUAUUUUCCCCUAAUUUCUCUUCGGAUCUCAAAAAAAAAAAAAAAAAAUUAAAAAAAAAAUCAAACAAAAAAACUUUUUUUAAAAAAUCUUCGGUCAUGCGGAGAAGCAGAGCAGCCGCUGCGGCGAGACAAGUUCCGGCGACGGAAGUUCCGGUACCGGCACCGGUGGCCGGAGAACACAACGGAUCUGGAGGAUCUAAGGAGAUAAGGUUCCGUGGAGUUCGAAAGAGACCAUGGGGAAGAUUUGCAGCAGAGAUUAGAGAUCCAUGGAAGAAAACUAGGGUUUGGUUGGGUACUUUUGAUUCUGCUGAAGAUGCUGCUCGUGCUUAUGAUGCAGCAGCUCGUACUCUUCGUGGACCUAAAGCUAAAACUAAUUUCCCUUUACCUUCUUCUCAUCAUCUACCUCCAUAUCCUCACCAUCAUCAGUUCAACCAAAGCAUCAACCCUAACGAUCCCUUUGUCGAUUCCCGGUUAUACUCUCAGGACCACCCAUUAGUUUCACAGAGACCUACUUCAAGCAGCAUGAGUAGUACGGUGGAGUCCUUCAGUGGACCACGGCAGCCGCCGCGGCAGCAGACGGCAGCUUCCGUGCCUUCCAGAAAGUAUCCCCGGUCACCGCCUGUUGUCCCGGACGAUUGCCAUAGCGACUGUGACUCAUCGUCUUCUGUCGUUGAAGACGGUGAAUGUGAUAACGACAACAUCGCUUCUUCCUCUUUCAGAAAGCCGUUGCCUUUCGAUCUAAACUUACCGGCACCGAUGGAUGACUUCAGCGCCGACGCAUAUGCCGAUGAUCUUCACUGCACAGCACUAUGUCUUUGACGAAAUGAUGGUUUGUGACCCACCUGUCAUUUGAUACCACUGCUUACCUAGUUUUUCUUUCUUUUUUGGGUGACCGGAAAAAAAACAAAAAAAAAGAAGAGGAAGGAGCCAUAGAAGAUAAGCUAAACUAUGUCUGCUAUGAGUCAAUCUGUUGUUGUAAGAGUAUUCACUUGUUUAAUUUAAUUCUCAUAUUUUAUAUCAUGGGAUUUCUUGAUAGGUGGAUGGAUCAGUGUAUGUCAAAUUUGUUCUGAUUGUGUAUCUUAAAACUAUAUGUGACUUCUCAGCUGAAGGUGCCCUUUGUUGUUCGAAGUCGAAUUUAUAUAUAUUAUCGCGGAAGAUUAGAGGGUAACUUGUGUUCUUCCAUUGCUGUUAUCAUGUGUGUAUGAUGUUAUCUUCUGUCCUUUCAGUUUAUGUAACUAUUGAGACUGUAUCUGAUCAUAUAUCAGUUGAGAAGUAUUCAUAUUUUGGGCUACUCGUUUAGUGUUUCUUCGAA